rnacentral:lncRNA from 1 species
CCUCUACAACCGCCGAGGUAGCGCCCACGGCCGCUGGUGGCCGUGAGCGCGCGCGUACCCUCGAAGGCGAGGCGCGAGACCCGGGGAGAGAAACCCUAGACGCGGAUGUGUGGAGACUGGAGAGGGGGAGGCGGAGGCGAGAGAAGAAGCUCGGCGAGUGCUGCGCGAGGAGAGAGUGGAGCGUAGCAGUAUGGCAAGGAGCCAGCGAGGUGUGUUUAAGAAGUGGAGAGGAAAAUGAAGAAACGACGGGACUGGAAGGGAGAGAGGCCAGGGUAGGGGGCGAGGGGGAGCGGCACGCUGACUGCACACGGACGCCGCACGCGGACGCGAGGCCCACGAGGGACAAACGGACGAGACUGUAGCUGACGUGCGGGACCAGGAAGAGUAAAUUCUGAGGUGGGAACGUUUGUCAGUUUCUAUCUGUGACGCAGCGCCAGCUGCCAAGCCGUUUGACCGAACGGGCGCUGCACCGGGACACCAGGAUGAAUCGCACAACGGAGAUACUCCGUAUUUUACUUUGCAAAGUAAGCAACACACUUCCAUAAAAAAAAUGUGCCUCCUGUAUAGUAUGAUUGUAACAGGAACAAAAGAAAUUUGGCAUAGUCGUUUGAAACAUAAGAAUUUCACACAAAACAAUGGAAUUCUCUACGAGUAAUAAGAGGAAUGGAAAUGUGCCCCUCGUGGCUGUAACACGAAAAAAAGAGUGAAAAAAAGGUAGUACUCUGAGGGCCUAUAGUUGGAAUAGAACAAUUCCACAUAAAACAAAAGAGUUUUCGUGUGAAUGAUAAGAGUUUGUUUCUCAUCUUCGCCUGGUAUUUUUUUUUAACCAAAUCAUUGCCUAGUAGUAACUUUCUCGUACAAAAUUAAAUAGAUAAGAAAAAAAAGUGAGAACAAAAAGCUCUUCGGGUUUGACAUAAAUUAAGACAGAUGAAAUCGCAGUGACGGUGUACCACGAAAAGAGCAUGUCCGUGUGUGUAGGUAGGGUUUCAUUCAUCGUCUCAUUUAUUCAUGCAGGUUUGAACUGUCAUGCGCACCCACGCGCUUUUUUUUGUUUUGAAUUUAAUGUGUUGCCUUGUUUGCUCACUCGGUGCCGCUGCCCGGGGGACAGUUAUGUUGGUCCCACUUCUCGCGUUAGUGGGUGUUCCUUAUUUUGCGUCAUCUUAAAUACUCCGUCCUAGGACCCACUACUUUCGCAAUAGCGACAAAAGGAAGAUUCUUUGGCAUUUUUCAUCCGCAUCUCUCUCUCUCUCUCCUAAUCACUGUCGUGCUGUCAUGAAACCCUAGAAGUAGCGGUGAUUUGGUGUGUGCAUGUCGUUCAGCUCGUAUUUACGCAUAUUAUGUUCCCUAUGAUCAUCGGCGGAAGGAUGGUGUUGAUGGUGCAGGCUUGGAACACCAUCGAGACAAGAUGCAUUGGGAUGUCAUGUGCGCCCAUGGACUUUUUUGGCUUGAAUUUAAUGUGUUGCCUCGUUUGCUCACUCGGUGCCGCUGCUCGGGGGGCAGUUAUGUUGGUCUCACUCCUCACAUUAGUGAGCGUUUCUUGUUUUGCGUCAUCUUAAAAUACUCCUUCCCAGGACCCACUACUUUUGCAAUAGCGACAAAAGGAAGAUUUUUGGCAUUUUUCAUCCCCAGACAGUGGGGUUCCAAGUUUUGCCUUGAGCCUAGGGCUGAGCAACUAAGUCCAAGGCUAAACAAUGUAUCAUGUGCUAAGCUAGUAGAGAUUUUCGAUUUUCUUCGAUCCAUAUACAAAGAAAUUUGGUUCCAAGCCCAGGGCUAUAGCCCAGGUUGCCCUGGACAUUGGUCCGCCCCUGUCCCCAGCUCUCUCCUAAUCAUUGUCGUGUUGUCAUGAAACCCUAUAAGAAGCGGUGAUUCGGUGUUCUUGUGCGUGCUGUUGAGCUAGUAUGUUAUGCAUAUCAUGUUCUUUAUGAUCAUCGGUGGAAGGAUGGUGUUGAUGUUGCAGGCUUGGAACACCAUCGAGAAAAGAGCCGUUGGGAAGCAUGAGAUCACCAGGAGGAAAGCAAAGUGGCCCGGUGACAGGAACAACAGAUGCAGUUUACCGGGAGGUAGGGGAUGGAUAUUAAAGUUUGGACAUUCUCGCUAAGUAGAUCAAGCGGUAUGAGCGAGACACCAAGAUAAAUUUUACAUGAUCUUUCACUUAAAACCACAUGGUAAGUAAGUUGUCAUUUGUAUAUUUUCUCGGUUUAUUUAUACCAGAUGUCAAUGUGCUUCAUGACUCAACACUGUAAGAUCGUUAAACAACAAUUGGUUCAGCAACAUGUGAGCUUGUGACAAAAAAAUUAUAUAUGUAUUCCGAUUUAGAAGUACUAGAUAAUCCAUGUAUUGCUACAGGACAAUAAAUUACAUUGUCUCGGCAUGUCCAAUGACGUGUGUUGAAUGAUGGUUUGAAUUUUCAAGAUUGACACCAAUAGACGAGGGGUGCAAUUCUUCGGUCUCUGUACUGACAAAUACAAAUUCCAACUACACUUUUAAGAUGAUCUCCCGUACUGCCUCCAUUCCUUAAAAAAUAUCAUACGAAGUAUUAGUUUUCAUUAAGACAAAGUUUUGACCACAAAUUAUUAUGUUAAAAUGCAAUUUAUAUGACAUGAAACCACAAGUCAUGAAGUACUUUUUUAUAAUGAAUAUAUCGAUACUAAUUUCAUGUCAUAUAAAUCACACCUUAACAUAGUAAUUUAUAGUUCAAGUCUUGUCUUAAUGAAACCUAAUGUGACAUUUUUUUAAGGAACGUAGGAGUAUAAAAAAGGGAGUAGAAAAUGGACGGGGUUCCAUCCUUGGUUGAAAAAAAAAUGAAAAGGAAGGAAAGCCAAAGAACCAUGGGAUCACUUAUGUACUUGUGCUCAAGUGAUUAGCAGUUUGUUGACACCGUAGAUAGGUAAAAGGAAGGAAAGCCAAAGAAACCAUGGGAUCACAUAUGUACUUGCGCUUAAGUGAUUAGCAGUUUGUUAUCACGUUAUUUAGUCGAAAGACACGUCAAUUAAGAUAGUGAUUAGCCACGAGGGCUCCAUUAUUUAGUCGAAAGACACGUUAAUUAAGAUGUGUGUGCGUGUUCCUUUGAAAGCUUACCACUAGUAAACGUCUAUACUCUCGCAAAAGAAAAAAAGAAAAAAGUAGACGUGUAGACAUGCGUAAGGAAUAAAUAGAAUCAAUUUAAUGUCUUUUAGAGGAAAACGGUCUGUUAAUCAGUUUCAUUUAUCCAUUAGAAACAGAUCAAGUGGGUUGCCCCAUGCUGUUCUCUGAAGCAAUUAACAUGACUAAUCGAUGGCUGUCGGUACAGUAUAGCCUGUAUCUCACCCAUCAUAUCACUGAAAGCAACGUGACACUGACUUGUGGAGAUUAUUAUGUGAUUUAUUCUUUCGGUAAUGACAGAAACCAUUCAUUAUUGCCAGGCUUGUUGCGUAAACACCCAUUAUUCAUGCUUUUUCGCAAAACAACUACUAUUUGUCUAACCCUUUGCAUAUAAGUUCUAAACCGAGUUUCAGCACGUUAACGACGUUUUUGACCGGUCGGGCCCACCCGUUAGUUCCAACAUGGCAGCUUGCUCAACUCCGGGCCGCCGAUAGCCUCGCCCAGCCUGCCCACAUGCGUGGCGCGAUCCAAAGCCGUCGUCGUCGCGAAGUACUCCCUGAGCUCCUCCACCAUGUCGUCCACGUGCCGGUCGAGGUACCGUCUCUGCACCGGUGAAAUCUAGCAGGUUCGGGCAGCACAUGGCUCCACACGCGAGGUGCUCGAGCCUCGGUGCCAGGAUUACCUCCUAGGCCUCCCAGAGGAGCAUCCUGCCGCACCCCACGAUGUGCAGCCUCGGCGGGUGCAGCUCGAGCGAGGUCAUUUCGGAGAGCCUCUCCAAGGAGAGCUCCUCGAGCGUGGCCGCGGCUGCCUCGAGGCGUGGCGCGGCAAGGCCUUGGACGUGCUCGACCCGGGCACGCCGCAGAGCGGGCAGCCCCCCCCCCCCCCCCCAAGUUGGCCUCGUCCGCGCACCCCGGCUCGAUCCUGGCGUGGCUCAACCAGAGGUCCGUAGCGCGUCCAAGGUGCCGGCAUCGGCGUCAGGCUCGCGUUGCCCAAUGUCGGCCGGAUCUCCUCAGCUCUUGCAGAUGCCAGGAGUUCAGCCACGAGCUGCUGCUUCCUCAUCUUCGGCUCCGGCUUGCACACUCACGUCAUCUUCUCAUCCGGGUCCAACACGACGUUGGGGCCGAACAUCACGAGCAUGGCCUCCGCUCUCGCGUACGUCGGAAGCUCGGCAACAAACUUCCUCUUGGCUUCAUCCUCAUCCGGCGCGGCCGGGGGCACGACGACCGCGACAGGGUGAUGUGCGCCGACAUGACGUCCUCGAUGACCUCGGCGGGUUCUCGUGAUGGGGCAGGCCCAGUACCGGUUGCGGCACGAAGGGCAGUUCUCGAGGAGGCACAACGCCCACACGCUGCGGCGGCGCUCAUGUUGGCAUGGUGGAGGAGCUCGGGGAGUACUUCACGAGGACGACGGCUUCGCCGCGCGCGGGCGGGCUGGGCAAGGCCAUCGGCGUCGACCCAAUCCAUGUAGGCAAGCCCAGGCUGCCACGUUGGCACCGACAGGUGGGCCCCACGGGUUAGAAAUGUCGUUAAUGCAUUGAACUUCAGGUUAGGACUUAUGCGUAACGGAUUAGACGAAUAGUACGUGUUUUGCGCAAAAAAGACGAAUAGUGAGUGUUUGGCACAACAACCCAACCAAAGUUGAGUGGUUUGUGCAAUUUCCUCCUUUCUAGCGAUGGUUUGCCAUAUUUGUUCACCACCGCGGGAUAGGGUUUCUUUGAGAAAGAGUGGCGGAACCAAGAAAAAAUUGUACGGGAGGUCAGAAUAGAAAAUAUUAUUAUAAAGAAGUCAAAGCACAAAAAUCAUAGUCUAUAAUAUAAAUUUUCAGGUACCUAUGUAUAGUUUUUGGAUCUCAGGGGGGUAGGGCUCCUGCUGGUCCCCCGGUUCCGCCGCUGUUGAGAAAUAUCGACGGCCCGGAUAGGGUUUGUGAUGGACAUAUAUUCUGGCAUUUGUAUAUUUUCUCUGGUCUUUUGUACCAGAUGACCAUGGGCUUCAUGAUUCAACAACGUAAAUGGUCAACAAUGUCCAUGUGAGAUCGUGACACGACUUUUGAUAUUCAUGUAUUCCUGUUUAGAAGUACAUACUCAACCUAGUUUAAUUAAGCAAAGUGUCACAAACUAUGUAUUAGUCAAAAAAUAUGACAAUAUAUUACAGAGUAGUAAAAAAAAUGAUUCUCUAUCACGCGACCACGGGGAUAUAUGGAAGUUUGACCAACCCGAAGGAAAUCAGUUUAAUUUGCUAUUGCAUUUAUCCCCUUGCGUUUUAUACAGAGAAAUACAAAGAUUGUGGAAGAAAGGAUACACAUGCAUAAGAAAGACAAUAAGAUCCUACUACUGGUGGUAUUUGUACGAGGAUCGAUAUCGCACGCAUGGUGCUAUUGGUUAGAGGAACAAGUCUUAAGGGGAGUUGGAGAAUAGGUGUCGAGGUGCAUGUCUAGCAGUCUCGACAUCGUCAUUGAGAGGCAUCUGAUGGUGUGACGCUCGCCCUCAAAUCCUUGAAUGUGAACAAUGAUAGGCCCUUCGUGAAGAUAUCGGCGAACUGAGAUGGGGUUGGGACAUGCAGACUUUGCACACGGCUACUUUGUCACGUGAAAAGUGUAUGUCGAACUCAACGAGCUUUGUGCGAAGAUGUUGGACACCGUUGGCUGCCAAGUAUACAUCAAAGACAUUGUUAUGGAAGACCACGUAGACUUGGCGAUGGUUAGGUAAAGCUCGCGAAGUAGCUGCAAUAGCCAAUAACUCUCCGGGAUGACAUGAACGAGUGUACGAUACUCCUCUUUAGCACUAGACCGAGAGACUAUGAACUGGCAUUUUGAGGACCAUGAUGGCAUAUUAUUGCGGAGAUAAAUUCUGAAUCUGAAAUUAGCUGAGCACCUUCUAUAUAUCAGAAUAACCUGCCCAAUCGGCUUAGGAAUAAGCGACAAGGGAAGAGCAGGCAACCGGAAAAAUAGUCAUGCCAUGGUCCAAAGUGCCUUUGACAUACCUAAAGGACCGGAGGUGCAAACCUAGAGAGGUACAUAAUAUGUUGUCUAAAAAUUCUAACCAUAUUAAACCUUUCUUGAAGUAAAUCGGAAUAUAGAAAGUUAACUAAUAAUGCAACUGGGUGAACAAUCCUACAUGAGCAAUAAUACCACAAGCAACAAAGUACCAGAACAACAAACAAGCUUGCAUUAAGUAAAUCUAGGUGGAAUAUAGUGAAAUACUGUUAGAGAUGAUGAAGUAUUUCCUGGAAUUCAAAUCCUCAGGGGAUCUUAGCUACCACUCCGUCGAGGUGACACCAAUCACAAAUAUCAAACUUCAGGCUCUUUCUCAAGCCACUCUCCUCCGAGGCUCUUGUACUCAAUCUCGAUGAUGGCAUAUUAUUGCGGAGAUAAAUUCUGAAUCUGAAAUUAGCUGAGAUCCAACCUUUUUUUCGGAAGCGGAAUCCAACCUUCACAGACUUUCCCAGAGCAAAUCCAGAAGCUUGGAUCCUUCCGGGCCACUUCUACUGCCUAGGAUUCUCCAACCUUCAAGAGCAAUAAGCACAAGGAAUGCUUGGAGCUGAACUCAGUGCUUUUGCUUGGCUGGGAUCUCAAAUCUCACUCAAGGAUAAAAUCUCUCUCAAAUCCACCUUCUCUUUCAACGGAUCUGACUCAAACAAGUUUGGAGAGGCUAGAAAGUGUCUUUGGUUUAUGAGAGAGUUUAGUCAAAGUUGAGACAUCUUUUGUUGGACGGAGAAAGUAAUAUAAUUAGGUUGCUAAAAGUGUUUAGGAGAGAGUUUAAUCUCCUUUUAUACACACGAACCACAUAGAACACACCGGUUAACAUUUCCUACACACAAGAUAAAUAUUAUCUGCACCGCUAGCCUUUCUUAGCGCAGAUACUCGUUUGUCUUACUUAACAUGGUCUCAUACUUGCGUGAAUAUAUUUUGAAUAACAACAGAAUACGCGUGUGUUGUUGUAGAUAAAAAAAAUACAUGUUUUAAAAAUAUGGUACUAUUAUCUAUUAAUCUUACAUAAUUAUGUAAUUUAUAUGAGUUUUCAUCUCAAUGAUGUGCCAAAUCAACAAGAGACAAAAUAAACCAUGAUGCAAUCCAAACUCUAAAGUGAUGAACCACCACCACCACCAAUCGAGUCUUGUAUACUCCCCCCGUCCUAUAUUAGGUAUAGAUACAUUCAUAUUUAGGCAAAUUUGAGUCACUUAAUAUGAAACGUAGGGAGUAGUAACUAGCACACAUGUCUUGCUAUGGCUAAAUCAAAUUAGACUAUUGGCUACACAAAAAUUAGACUGAAAAUCAGUAUUAUAUAUUAGUGACACUUCAUAGUAACUUUAUCCCAACUUCAAAUGAUAAACAUCGCUAUCAUCUUAGUUUUUUUUAAAUAGAUUUAAUUUUCGCAUUACAUAGAGGUGAUGAGUUUUUAUUGACAAUAAAAAAAAAGACAGAAACCAGAUUACGGACCACGGCCAUCUUUUAACUUUUUUCAUAGAAAUAGAGGUAAAGAGUGUUCAACAAUGUAACUUGUUCUAAUGAUUUGGCUCUCAUGCAAACUAGUAUCUAAUCUUAACUCGUGUUCAGUGGCGGAGGACGGAACAAAAUUUUAGUGUGGCAAACUCAACAACAUUGAAAUAGUGUGGACUGUGAAAGAUUUUAAAACUAAAGUAUUAAAUGAUCUAGUGAAGUAUAUGUUGCAAAGUAUGCUUUUGUAUUUUCAUAACAAAAAAAAAUCAGAACAUCAAACAUCCAUAUUUGGUGAAUUGUACAAUGAAAAAGAUUCACUGCCCACAAAAGCACGCAAGUGUAACCUAGUCUCAUGCUGCGACAAGCGAGCACCGCACCAGAUGAUUGAUUGAUGAAGCAAGAACUAUAUGCUGAUUAAUUUGUUAAUUGAAGUACAGACUAAGCUACUUGCGGCAGGAUUAAUUAAGAUGUGGCGCACCACACACCUUGCGACACAGGGUCGUCCGCCACUGCUCGUGCUUUCUUAUCAGUACAGGGAAGUCAUGAUUCAUGACCAACGGCCAUUCUUUGGUGGGCUUAAGAAACACAAGAGAGUGGAAACAGAAGUAGGAAGGUUUCGAUCUUUGUAAAGGCAUGGGAAAGCGAAGCAAUUCAUCGAGAGUGUUUUGGCUGCCUUGAUAUAAGGCGGCUGGACAUGGAUGACCUCGUGUAUUUGGUACCUAGUCAAGUCAGAGGUCAUAAAAUAUCUCGCCUUGUCUCUUCCGGUAGAGUUGUACUCCUCGUCCAGAACAAAUCAGUUGGAAGGUUGAAAAUGACAGCACGUCAGCACAAAACUAACUCAGUCACAAAAAUGCCCAUAUUAAUCGGUGCUGCUUCCACUCUGGGUCUGGGGUAUUCAUGUCAUUUUCCAUCGAUAAGAUAUGUCCCCGAGGGGCCAAAGCUAAUCAUGGCUAAUUUGCAAUCAUACCUCUUCGAAAUAAAAAAUUGCAAUCAUACCUGGGAUUUUCCUCUGUUCUUAACAUAAGGCCAAUGGCUGACUUCCACGUCAGGCUACGAAUCCUGAAACGGUGUGCAAGACCACUGCAAAAACAGAUAAACAAAACAAAUGGUCUCAACAAACAAGCCAGUGUUCCUCUCUCUGUCUCUCUCUCUCAAAAAAAAGCCACUGUUGCAGUGGUGCCAAAAAAGAAAAGAAAACAUUUAUCAAAAAAACAAAACAAGCCAGUGUUGCAGCGGGUCAUGGAUUCUGAAAUAAAGCCCAUCUACAAGGCCCAUGUGACUCCCAAAAUAAUGUAAAAGCAAUCCCCAAAUAGCUUGAAUGAGGUCCAUUAGUCCGUGAAACAUCGACCUCACGGCCCUUACCUCUUUAUCCUCCGGUCUCCGUUGAUCCGUUCCCGAACUCCAUGGCACGACACCGCCAUGGCUCCGCUCCCUCAUCCCCUUCCCGCCACUCCGUACCCAGCCAAACCACACGAGACCCCGCGGUCCUUCUCCCUACAUGCCGCGCUCGCCUCCCUCUCCCAGCAAGGCGGCGACAACGGCAGCCUCCGCGACGCCUUCGCUCUCGUUUCCCGCGCCGAGCGCCAGUCGAGCCCCGCUGUCGCCGUCGCCGUCGGCCCGGAGGUGUACGUGUCCCUCCUGCAGUGCUGUGUGGCAGCGGGGUCCCUCCGCGCAGGACGCCAGGUGCACGCCGCCGCCGUCAAGCGCGGGCCCUACUACUGCCGCCACGCCUACAUCGGCACUAAGCUCGCGGUCUUCUACGCCCGCUGCGGCGCGCUCGACGAUGCCGAGCGCGCGUUCGAUGCGCUUCCCAAAAAGAACGCCUUCGCGUGGGCCGCCGUCAUCGGAUUAUGGAGUCGCGCCGGGCUGCACGCGAGGGCCGUCGCCGGAUACGUGGACAUGCUCGAGGCGGGCGUUCCCGCGGACAAUUUCGUCGUGCCCAACGUGCUAAAGGCGUGCGCGGGGAUCGGGAUGAUCGAGACCGGGAGGGCACUUCACGCGUACGCUUGGAAGGCGGGGUUCGGGGAAUGCGUGUACGUGUUGAGCAGUCUGGUGGAUUUCUACGGGAAGUGCGGCGAGGUGGAUGAUGCGAGGGAGGUGUUUGAUGCAAUGCCGGCGACAACCGUGGUGACUUGGAAUUCGAUGUUGAUGGGGUAUAUAAACAACGGGAGAAUUGAUGAUGCCGUGGAUUUGUUCUAUCAGAUGAGGGUCGAGGGUGUGCUGCCGACGAGGGUGAGCGUUUUGAGCUUUCUGUCUGCAUCAGUGGAUCUUGAAGCUGCCGAUGGGGGAAGGCAGGGCCAUGCCGUGGCGGUAUCGAGCGGAUUAGAGAUGGAUGUGAUCUUGGGUACUUCAAUCAUCAACUUUUACUGUAAGGUUGGGUUAGUGGAGGCUGCAGAAGCGGUGUUUAAGCAGAUGGUGGAAAGAGAUACCAUUACAUGGAAUUUGAUGAUUGCUGGGUAUUUGCAGGAUGAACAGAUCGACAAGGCUCUCAUCACUUGUCAGAGAAUGCUUCGGUCUGGCCUUAGGUUUGAUUGUGUGACGUUGGCAUGCAUUAUCAGGGCUUACAGGGAAUCCUGCAAUACGGAGAUGGGUAGAGCUGCUCAUGGUUAUGCAGUUAGAAACAAUCUUGAGUCAGAUAGAGCAGUUGCUUGUGGCCUGAUAGAGUUGUAUAUGAGUACUGAAAGGACUGAAUAUGCACGCCGGGUAUUCGACGUCAUGAGUUGUAGGGACAUUGUCAUGUGCAAAACCAUGAUUUCUGCUUAUGAAGAUCAUGGCAUGAGUACUGAGGCUCGGAAGCUUUUAUAUCAGAUGCAACUCGAGGGCAUAUCUCCAACUGCAGCGUGUUGGGAUUCAGUAAUUUCAGUUUUUAUGAAAAAUGGGCAGAUUGAUGAGGCCCUACAGAUCUUCAACGAGAUGCUACUAACAAAAACACGCCCCAAUCUGCGCACAUGGAGCCUGUUAAUAAGUGGCUUGUCUCAAAAUGGUAUGCACCAUGAGGUAAUGAAUCUAUGUUGCAAGAUGCAGGAAGUAGAGCAAGCACCGAGUCCAACAAUUUUUUCUGCAGCACUUCUUGCUAUGAAAACUGCAGCUUCGGUACAAUAUGGAAAGGCAGUGCAUGCAUGCAUUGUUAAAAAGGGCCUGUUAUUGUCCAAAUCCGUGAUACAGUCCUUGCUAAACAUGUAUGGUAGUUUCAGUGACAGAGGCACAGUGGAAAGUUUACUAAGGUUGCUUGCUGCAGUACAGUAAAUAACACAGCUGUACAUAUCACAUAGCGUUGCACAUAUUCAUCGUCAGAUGGCCAUUCUUGGAACUAACAUUAUGCAUCCGAUCAGCCUGGUUGGUGGAGUAAAUAUGUAUUUCCAAUAUGCAUUCAUCAUAGCUUACAUAGACAGGUUUAUGCACAGUUACAUAUUUUUGCACAUUUUCGUUAAAACUUCUUGAUGCGGUAUGGCAUCUACAUCUGAUCUUCAGAGGCAUUUUCAUGAGAGCAGAAGGUUCCAAUCAGAAAACAGGCAAAGGUUAAAGAGCCCGUACCAGCGAGUAUAUAGUGCUGCUGUUGGCUCAGAACUCUUUCUGAAACUUGCAGCUACAGAUGCUUGAAUUAUUUUGCCGAAAAGUGUACAGUUUUAGCUUCUGUAACCACUGACCGCACGCUAAGAGAUAUGCUACAUUUGUGAUGUCUGCCUAGUUUGCUCAAUUUUGGACCAGAAUGUGUACUCCUCGCUGGGCCUUUUGGGGGAAUUGUCAGAAGACAUGGCAUCGUCUAGACGCGAUCAUGAAUUAUUGAUAGUCCUUGUUACAGUCAAAGCAUUAGAGUGAACUGUACACCCAUACUGCAAAGUCUAAUUAACUCCCACUCUUGCGGGAGGGAGGGCAAUUAAUUGAUUUCAAAUAGUAGAUCCUUCUUUAGAGUUGCAAAAUUGAACGCGUGAAAUGAUAGAGGAUACUGCAGUGAUGGACUUUUACCGAGAAACCUUCAAGUCUUCCGUUCAGUUUAAGCAUCUUUGUUUUUACACCACUUAACUGUAAUCGAUCAGUGCCUGUUUGCAGAAUCAGAAGAAGACCGGGAGACACAGAGUGAUCAGUCUUUCAUCGGUAACUUGGGCCCGGCCCGAUUGACGCCAGGAUUGACCUGCCAACUCGCGUCCAUCUUUAACCUCCCCGACCCCAAGUAUUCCCCAACAUGCAUGAUGCUCCCGACGACAAGUGCUCGAUCCAAGGUGCGGCUAUGGCGGACGUAAAGGCUGGGGCGACUCUGUCUGGCUUUAGCAAGGCAGGCACGUGAGAAGUGGGCACGCUCGUUCAAGGCGCGAUGUAUGAUGGAUCAUGGAUGGAUGGAGGAGACCCCAAACCGAGUGGGAAGCCGCCCCCACCAUGUGUCUUCACGCCCUGCCCAAAAAGCGCUGGGUUUCCAUUGCCAGCCUUCCCCUUUCCCUAACCUAUCUCCUCGAGUGACCGACUACUCCCUGCUUUGAUGCCAUUUCCUUCUGUUUUGCUGCCUGGGGUAGAUCAGAUCUUGCAUGCGUUUCCUUAUUCCUUAAUUUGCAGCAGCGAGGGCAGCCGUACACGGGCCGCACGGCUCUUGUGAGUGAGAAUUGGCCAGUCAUGACAUCCGUGCGCGCGCGCAGGGAAGGGGUACGUGCGAUCUGGGAUCCCGGCUGGAUAAUGCAUAUGCACGGCAUCAUGGCUAUCCAUAAUCAUGGCAUGGUCCAUUCUCGUCAGGGAUUCAGGAUCGGUGUUCGGCUCAGCAGAGUUCUUCUUCAGGCGUCUCUCCACAGGAACGCGGUGAAGAUCCUGUUCCGUGGCUUGUAGUAGCGGUCCAUUCACGUGAGGAAUUCAGGAUCGGUGUUUUGCUCUGCCGCUGAGAGGACAGCUCAAUCUUUGUGUGCUUGAUUGGUCCCCUGCUUCUCUCUAUCUUUCUUGAAUGAUUUCUUUCAGAAAGAGAGCGGAAACACUGUCUUGAAGCGUUUGUGGCUACUCUCGUCGCUAGAGGUUUCAUCACUUUUUUCUGUGCGUGUUUGUGCCCAGCUACCGAGGACGAUCUUUCGAUAAACCCCGAGAAUCUUCUUGCCAAUCCUAGACGAGACCCUGUGCAACAAAAACAUUGGCCAGGGCAAAAGGUUGGCCGGUUGGGGUGCAAAACCAAUCACACGUACUCAUAUGGUUCGAUCGAGAGUUCACAUGCGGCUGCGCGCGCUCCUGCUGGUCGGUGCGGGCAAAAUCAACACCAGCACAAACGGGCGGCAUUCCCUUCGAAUUAUUUGCUCAGACACAAGUCAGUUCCAUGAAAAAUCAUCUGCCGUUCUUCCAAUCACAUUCCGCGAGAGGGGGAGGGAGACCGAUGAACUGGUUAUGAUAUGACAAGGACGCGACAACGCAGGCAACCAGCCAGAGUGCCAGACUAGCACGCCAGCAUGGGCUUAAAUUGUGCACGUACGUGUAGCCUGGCUCUUCAGUGCAGCCCCACGCGGCACGGGCGCGCCCACUGUUUUUUUUACAGGUCGACUCGCCGUACGCUAUGCGUGCCUGCCCGGCGCCGUCAGGAGUUCAGCGCUGCAAGCUCAGAAACCCACAUAAAACAAUAGCCCGAUCACUAAAAUUUGUCCAAACAUGAAUGUAUCUAUUCUUAAAAUGCGUCUAGAUACAUGUAAUGUUUCGACAAUAAUUUAGAAUCGGAGAGAGUAUUAUGUUUAGGAGUUCUAUGAAAUUAUAAAAAAACAAUAUUAUGACAGGGUUUAGUGUAAAAGUUAAUGAUCGGAUUGAUCCUUCUUAUGGAAGGCACAAAGGUGUUAGAUAAGGGGAUAAUCUAUCUCCGUUGGUGUUCAAUCUAGUUGCAAAAAUGGUUUGAGGAACCGGUAGGAGUGUUCCUUUUUUAUUAAGAAGAAUGAUAGAAGUUAUUUACAGAAGAGGCAGUUUUUCAGGGAACCAAAACCCCAAUCGCCCUAAGCACAAAAAACUAGUCGGGUUCUAGCGCAAAACCGUGUAGCCAAAAUCCACGUCAAGCUGCCAGCAACUAAAAGAGAGGCCUCCCACCAAUCAUCAAUGGAGGAGGAGGCGUCGGCAGGGGUGAGGGGGUCGCAUGCCAAAACAGACACCACACCCCAGACACUCUUAUAGCUAGUGAAGGAGCACUCCUUGCAAAGGUGGGGAGGUCUCUGAAGCCGAAAGACAAAGUUGGCAAACUAGGUCAUGGGGCCAUCCACGCAAAGCGGGUUUAUCGAUAGUAAAGAUGCGAUUUUGAAUUGGAGAAGCGAGGAGAGAAUCCUACACUUGGCCUCGACGUAGACCUUCCAAUUCUUGGAGGGGAAGAACUUCGUGUGCGAGCUGUUGAACUGGACAAGGUAUGGAGAGUGACAAGAAUAGUGGGGGUUCAUAUCCAGGGGAUGGAGUCACAAACGACUAAUCGCUUUGAUCUAGUUGAAAUUGAGGAGCUCUUGGUGCACAUUUAUAUUAUUUUGGAUCGUUCUUGCCAUCGCUGAUUGUGAUGGAGGAGUAGGACCCAAAAACGCCAUGUAGAAGCUGUUGCAAGGAGGCAGAAGCUAGUAUUGCACUUGUUUGAGGCCAUGUCUAGACUAAAGAUUAAUUUCUUGAACCAUCGCCGAUUGCGUUGGAGUAGGACCCAAAAACACCAUGUCAAAGCUGUCACGAGGAGGCAAAAGCUAGUAUUGCACUUGUUUGAGGCGGUGUCUGGACUAAAAGAUUAAUUUGAAGAGUAUGAUGACGAUGAUUGUACAAUAUGAUGAGAAGGCGCAAAGAUAUGCUAAAAUGUUUAAUUGUCAAAUUUGAAAAUGGCCCAUUAAGGGCAUCUCAAGGAAACCCCCAAUUCCUCCCCAUUUGUCCAAAUCUGUCCAUAUGAGGGUCCAAGAGCAAAAUACACAACCCAAUGAGAACCUUCAUUUGUCCAAAAGUGGUCCAUAACAUGGGGACUCCCCAUUUGUGCAAAACUCAUCCAAAUCUUUGUCCACUUGUCUUUUUAGCCGACAUGUCAAAGACUCGUAAAGAGAUAAUAUUAGACAACUUGAUAUUUUUCAUCCCAUUUGUGCAAAGACUAUUCAAAUGGACAAAUGAAAGAACAAAUGGGGACUCACCCCUGAGUACUCGUCAUGUUAGCCUCUCUUUUUUGACAGCAGCCCCACAGGUUGUUGAUUGCUGACCGAGAAGUGUUGUAGAAGAAAAAUAAGGCACAUGAUCAAGCUUGGAGUUCUUUUCCACCAACUAAAAUAACACGUGAUUACUUACUCUACUCACUCUAGGCCAAAAAGACGGGACACGGGGGAAGGGCAAGAGAAUAUCGAUCACGAAGGUCGAAGGGGAAAAGAAAGGGGGCAGGCAAGCAGGAAACGAAGAAAAAAAGUUACAUUUACUUGGAAGAAUGAAGAGAAGGGUAAAAAAAAUGCAUUUCGAUCCGAUCAAACAAUGGCCAAGAAAAGAAACGGAAAAAAAAAUCAGGCAAAGGACAAGACGACAUGAUACAACUAUGCAAUUGAGCCUUUUUUUUAAUACUCCGUGUCGUUACGGCGUCGGUGCGGCCGGCGGCGUGCCCCUGGACCGCUCCUCCUCGGACGUCGUCCCCCGCGCGCUCUCCUCCGUGGUGGUCUGGCCGUGGCCUCCCCCGAUCUCCUCGAUCAUCCUGACCACGUCGGUGGCGUCCGGCCUCGCGUCCGGCACGGUGGCGACGCACGCCAUGGCCACCUGCAGCAGCGCCACCAUCUCCUCCUCGGCGCUGGCUCCGAGCCGCACCAGCUCGACGUCGAACACCUCGGCCGUCCACUCCUCGCGCACCACGGACUGCACCCACCGCGGGAGGUCCAGCGUGCCGUCGCCCUCCAGGGACGCGUGCGUCGGGGACUUGCCCGUCAGCAGCUCCAGCAGGAGCACGCCCAGGGAGUAGACGUCGGCCUUGAACGUGGGCCGCCGCGUGUCCACGACCUCCGGGGCCCGGUACCCGCCCGCGCCGGCGCGGGAGGACGUCGGGGCGAAGAUGGUGUGUAGGCAGAAGUCGGAGAGCGCGGCCGCGUCGUAGUCCGGCCGCAGCAGGACGUUGGAGGACUUAACGUUGCCGUGCACCAGGUUGUGCGCGGAAUGCAGGUGCGCCAGCCCGCGAGAGGCGGACAGCGCCGACCGCAUGCGCGCGUCCCAGUCCAUCGGCGUCCGGCCGGAACCCCGGCUCCCUGUUGCGUGCAUAAAAAUUCAUGGUGAGAAAUCUUCGACAGACUACUUACACUGCAGACUUAACAAGCAUGAUACACCAUCAAAAUUGUCAGCCCGCAACACCUGUUUUUUACAGGAUAUAUCUUCAAUAAACAUUGUCAGAAAGAAAAAUUAAUACUAUAUGAUUAAUUCUGCACAAAUUCGACAAGACGUGUACUAACCUAAAGUUGUAAUGCUUCUGCGGUUUUUUUGCACUAGUCUAAACUUACUCAUAAGAGUCGACCCAUAAUCAUGCAAGAUAAAGAAUCUAUCAUCUUGGAGACUUUGGACUGGUCCAUAAAGAACAGAGGUUGGUCACUGUCAACGGAAUUACCGAUGAUUGAACACACAACUAGUAUUAUCUUAACUUGUAUGCAGCGAACUUGGGCUAUUGCAGGCUGCAGCUUAACAAGACAGCACAUCUCAAUUGGUCAAGUACAGUUGGACAGCAACAAGAAGCACCAAACCUAUUAAUCAGCUGACGUAGUAUGUUCAGCAGGCAUCCUAAUUAAGAAACGAAGUUGAUAAGAGACUAAAUACUAAACAGAGUAGGCCGUCAGAUUCUAAUUAGCAACUACAAAUAUUCAUCUGGGCACUAAAUAAGCGCAUCUUUUAGAUACUAGACUUGGUACAUGACGGGCAAUCAAACACACCGUGCUAGUAGGUCGAAAAACAGCGUCACUAACCAUAUUAACGCAACAAGUGGACCGGCUUCAUUCCAAGAAGAGAAACAAGCAAUAAAUUUUUUACUAAAAUGGAAAAAUAUCUAAACACUGACAUCAGUCCUCAUUAGGUUUUGUGAACAGACAAAAAUAGCUGAUGAACAAGUGAGGCACAUGCAGCCCUGUUUGCUGAGCAUUUAGAUGCAAGAUUGUGGAAAUCAAUAACCAACAAUGGGCCUACACGACAGAGGCGGGCUGCCAUGCAGUGUCAGAUAAACAUAUAUGGAUGGCAUGUCAGCAUUGACUGAUGCCAUGGACCCAUAUGCCAUGGUGGAGGGGGAGACUGUCGACAAACCAUGUGUGGCCAUCCUAAAUUCUAGAACAGUACAACGACAUUGCAAGGUUACCAUUUACCAAAGCGACGCCAGCUUAGUCAAAACCUUAUUCUCUCAACUUUGACAUUUUGGAAUAUUCUUGACCUUAUUCUAGACUCAGGAGUCAAUACAGGGUACAUGCAUAUGUAAACAUAAUAUGGUUGCUGCAACUUUAGACCCCCAAAAAGCAGUGCUGAUUUAUGGUGCCAUGCCAUAUCCAUGAUGGACAACGGGCAACCACCUGACUGUUCAUUCGCCUCUCGGUCAUCAUCUUCAAUUCUUUUCCGGGUUGUUGAGGCUUCGAACGCAAGCAAUUAAGAUGCCUGCGAGGGACGACGAGGCGAGAGACACAGACACGGCGUGAACGAACGCCGGCUGACUUGGCCAUCAGCUAUAAACUGCUGCGUGCCGUCAUGAGUAGGCAGGUAGCACGCGCGGCCGGGCAAGAGCGCUUUUGGUUUUGGGUUAGAUGGAUCAUGGCGCAUCCAUGGGCAAUUUGGACGGUGGACGUACGCGCGCAGGCGAGAGCUAGAACACUUGCCAAACAAAAGGAGCUAGAACACAGCCGUGAGGUGAACUGGUUCACCACCAGCCGGCACGAAGCCCCACCAACCAGUCCUCCAGCACGACAACUCACCCCACAUUAUUCUACUUCGAGGCCCCCCAAUCUUUGCAUGCUUGCCAGAGAGGAUAUGUAUCAAUAACACGAUGUGCUAAAUGUGCUAUGGGUACAUGGAAUUGAAGUAGCUUCCUUGUGCUACCAUGCCAGGGUAUUGACUUUAGGAUGUUUGGGGGGCACACUUUGGUCGUUGGCACAUGGUAGGGUUAAAACACCGAUUCCAUUGUUUUACUGUAUGCCUCGACUUCGAGGGGAGCAUUCGCGCAUCUCUUUUACGCCCAACAGCGCGACCCGUACACGGUACACACUAGCAUAGCACUAGACAUUUUUCCCUCUCAAAACUUUUGGUCCUUGCAAGCAAUAAGUGAGCCCCCCAACAGAGUAUAUUUUCUCAAUUUCCUACUGCUAUCAAAUGUACACUACAGUAUUGCCUGAUAACGACAGAUAUGGCGCGAAGAGAGUACACACUACAGAAACUCCACAUGCCUCCCUCCCUCCUCCCUAGUCGCCCGCCACUUGGCCAUUGAUGUGCUCGUGGCCCCGAGGCAAUUUCUGGAUAGGUCCAGACGUCCUUGAAAAAAGAGAGAAAAAUAUGUGCUCCAUGUCCAUGAUACUACUGCUGAGACGAUUUUUAAAUUUUACCAGCCAUGGCAUCCGCCAAUGCAUCCAGCGGCAGCAGCUAGCAGUGCCAGUGAGGACCAGCAUCAUCGCUUUACAGCCCAAACCUCGCACUGCCACCGCACCACUCCGACCGACCGACCAUACUUGGGCAUCAAAUCAAAUAAAAGUGAGAAGGAACCAUUUUUUUUUCAGGAAAAAGAGCAGCGCGAAAAAGAGAAGAGGGGGCAAGGGAAAAGGCGCGCAAGAAACCACCGCCGGGCGCCCGUCCACACCACAUGUUGUCACAUCGAGUUCUUUCCUUUUUCCGCGAUGGGAAAGGAAAAGGGACAAGGAAUUUCGGAGUAAAUCGCCGCGCAUCUCCCACCUGCUUGCAUUCGGCCAUCAAUGCCGGCAAAUUCCGGCAGAAUUUUGGUGCUCGCCGGUGUCGCGCGGCCGAUGCGACGCACGGUGUCCAUUGGGAAUGAAUGACGUCCUCCGUCGGGUGGUAACGCGUAAGAAUCACUCCUUGCUGAAUUUCUCGCCUGGAUUUCUGCGAAUGCGGCCAAUUUGCGACGAUUCCGAUGAUAGCACACGUACAAUGGCCAAUCCGAGAAGACUUGGAAAUUUCCCAAGUCUUCGGGUACGGGCAGGGCAACGGCGCGCACAAGUGGACUCCUAGCCAAGCAGAGCACAAGUAGCAAGCAAAUGCAGUAAUGCUGCAGAGUGCGACCGGCGACGGCGACAAUCUCUCGAUGACAAGGGCAGUACGAUACGGAAAACGAAGGAACGUUCAAAUGCAAAUGCAAACUUGCAAAGGAGGUUGCCGGGAGUGUACUGACCGUGGAGCAUGGCGGAGAGGCUGCCGGUGGGGAGGUAGUCGUAGACGAGGAGCUUCUCGUCCUUGGAGAAGUAGUAUGCGCGGACGGGGAGCACGUUGCGGUGCUCCACCCUGCCGAGCGCGUCCAUGUGCGCGUCGAACUCGCGCCGCGCCACGGCCACGUCCUUGAGCCGCUUCACCACCACCGUCGUCCCUUCCUCCAGCACCGCCUUGUACGACGUCCCCACGCUCCCUUUCCCGAGGACCUCCGCCGACGCGCGCAGCAGGUCUUCCAGGUCGAAGCUGUAGCCCGCGCCUUUCCCCAGGAACACCAACCGGCUCGGCUCCCCCGUGCCGGCGCCAGCGGCCACCGCGGCGGCAGCGACGGACCCGGACGUACCGCCUCCCAUGUCCUCCUUGGAUGAGGACGUCAUGCCGGUGCCGUCGCCGGACGCCGGCGGGGCCACGCCUCUCGUCUGCCCCACCGCCGCGGCCGUGCCCUUCGGCCCCUCGCGGGUGCUGCCCGCGGCUCUCCGCCGCCGGGACACCACGCAGAACACGAUGAGCGCGAGGAGAAGCAGCGCGGCCACGACGGCGCCCACAACGAUCCCGACGAUUGCCGCGCCCGAGAGCUUCCGCUUCUUGCCAGACGCUGGCACGGGCUCAUCGCCGGGGCUCAUCCCUGGCGCCGGCGCCGGGGACGGGAAGAAGGGGGUGCAGGCCGGCAGCGGUUUGCCGCAUAGCUGGAGGUUUCCGGAGAAGGAGUCGGCCGGGAAGCGCGAGAGGGGCUGCGGGAUGGAGCCGUUGAGGUUGUUGUCGGAGACGUUGAAGGCGGUGAGCCCCGGGAUGCUGAUGCUGGGGAUUUUCCCGGAGAGGCGGUUGCCUUCGAGCCUCACGGCGCGGAGCUUCGUGAGGCUGUUGAGCGCGAAGGGGAUGGGGCCUGAAAGGUUGUUGUGCGAGAGGACCAGCCUCUCGAGGGCGGCGAGCUUGUUGACCCCGGCCGGGAUGGCGCCAGAGAUGAGGUUGUUCUGCAGGAACAUGGACCGGAGGCUGGAGAGCUGCAGCAGGUCGUCGGGGAUGGCCCCGAAGAUGCGGUUGGAGCGGAGCGAGAGGACCUGGAGGUUCGUGAGGCGGCCAAUGGUGGCCGGCGGGAUGGCGCCCACGAGACCGACCCCGGGGAGGCGCAGCUGCACGACGGUGGAGUUGGCGGCGUCGCACGUGACCCCGACCCAGCCGCAGGCCGGCGUGGAGGCGUUCCAGCCGAGCCGGCGCUCGUGCGGCGUGGCCGUGAGGAACGCCAGCAGCGCCGACCGCUCGCUCGCCGGCGGCUCCGCCCACGCCAGGCAGGCCAGCGACGCGACGACCGCCACGAGCACCACCGCGCGGGCCAUUGCGGACGGACGGACGGAAGUGAGAGAUGCGGGCGCGUCUACGAACAAGGCAUUGGGGAGCAAAGCAGGGGAGGGGAUGAGCUAAGCUUCUUAGCUAAUUAGCCAGACUGGCUAGCGAGUACGCAGUGAGCCGAGCUGCAGAUGGUUCGUCCCUUCGGGGACGGGAAAUUUUGGGGGGAGAAAAAGAGUGGGAAUGUGCGCGCCCGGGAGUGUUUUAUGCGGGCGGAUGGGUUGGUGAGGGAGUGUACGGGAGCUGGCAUCGUCGACGCUGCCAGUGGCUGGCACGGAAACAGGCGGGCGAGGCGCGUCCGUGAGCUGCUCGUCUAUAUACUCGGGUGUGUACUCUCUGUGUGUGCUGCCGCGCUGUCUAGUGAUCGCGGGUGCCGCGUCUCCGUGCCAAAUCCAUUGUUGGGCUUGUUGGUUUCUGGACUGGCUGUCUGGCCGGCCGGGUCAGGGUCGGGUCACGCGACUGCUGUACUGACCGCCAUGGCUUCUCGGCUCGCUGGAAACUACGAUAAGGCCGGUGUGCCGCCCCGAUCAGUAGUACGGGAGACGUGGUCGAAAUGCUGCUGCGUACCGUAAUUCCUGCGGGAAUUACUCCGUACAAGCAGCCCAGUCAAUACAGAUUGAUCAUCCUACGGAUCGAAUUCAGAAACCGCGUAGGUCGUUGGAACCAAAUUAUCUAGGCGAGCGAGAAUAUAUACUUCCCAGUUAAACGUGAGCAAGCCUCGCCGCUUUUCACAUUCGUCAUGACAUUGCCGUCCAUCUCCAAGCUCUUAUUUUAUUUUCGGGAAAAUCCUGUUACCAAUACUUGUUAAUUGCACCAUCGAUGGCUCACGUCGUUUGGAAGGUGCAGUAGUCUGCGUCAGAACUCAGAAGCGGUGCUGCUUUCGGCAGUGUUUAAGAAAGAAAGGAACUAAUGCUGUCGACGGAAAAACAAAACACCAGCUUAAAAAGAACCAAAGAACUUGAGAAUCUUCGGUAGCUUGGCGCUGCAGUAAAGCGGAAAAUUCCGGCAAAAACAGUUCCCUACGUCACUCGACUACGCGACCAAAGAGAGAGAAAAAACGAUCGAGCAGAUGGAUAAUUAUUUUUUUUGCGGGGGAGCAGAUGGAUAAUUCGACAGCUAUAUACGGCAGCUAGCGUACGACAAACAGCCGGCUGAUCUCUUGUCAGCCGUCGCCCGCGCGCGUCUGCCAGCAGCCGUUCACGCCCGUCGACGGGCGGUUAACCGUUGGCUGCGCCAAGAAGGUUCGCGCGCGAGAAGCUCGGCGGUCGCCGUCGUAGACCGGAUUAGGCGAACAACCGGGAGCACGUUAACGAUCAAGCCACUAGUUAGCUUAGCCAGCCAGCCCAGCCCGCGCACGCACGCACGCAGCCUCAGCGGCGCUUUACGAGAUCGAGACGAGGAAGGGAAGGUCACGGGUUGCUGUCGAAACAUUUUUGUUGGCGUUCCUGGGUUCGGCUUGGAUGCUGGUCGAUGGUACACACACAAUACAUGGCCCUGAGUGACAGCGAGUUUCAGAUUGGGUUUCGCGUCUAACUAACGCCUCCAACUGGAGUGCAGGUGGAGGCUAAUUAAUCAGCUACUAUAAUCUGGCCCGUCAGCCGUCAGGUCAUCAUCUCAUAAUGCAAUGUAGUCCGGGGGGCUCGACUCGAUCGAUCUUUCAAUGUGGGUUGACACAACUCGUGAGGAUUUGAGGAUUCACUCAUUCAUUCACGUAGAAAUUAAGCACAGUCGAUAUAUGCAAUUCCCGUGGCAGAAUCCAGCACCGUGGGUUUGCUAGUCAGAAGAUCCGCGUGUACGUGCGGACAAAUGGGACGUCACAUGGGGGGCAAAUCCGCUGGAACAGCCGGACGAUAUCCCUUCGGGUUUGACCGCUGAGCCCUGCAUGUCUGUUUGUUUCGGCCGUACCUCCGCAACUGUAUCAGUUGUGGGUGCGAGCUGCAGCUGAAAGAUUGGAACUGUCUGAUGCCUGUUUGUUUGGACAGUUGGUCCGGCUGCAGCUACAACUGAAAUGUGCUGAAAUAACCUGAAUGACCCUGUAGUUCCGUAGAUUUGGUAUUAAUGCUAACUGUAGUGUUUUACAUGUAAAUUAAUCGUUUUUGGUGCUGCGGAGUCUGUUUCUUCUACUCCAUCAGACAAUAUGUACGCAUUAUAAUAAUUUUUUACAACGCAUUAUACCAUAGUAUAGUAAUAAUAUAUUGUCCACACAUCGUUUGCAAAAUAUAAGAUCAUCGUGAUAGUAAAUUAGUCCAACCUAUUACAAUCCUACUCUCUUGCGGCCAUCAGAGCAUCAGCAAUUCUAUCACGAGUUGCGUCCAUUGUGGCGUUGCUACUUUCCACAUAGCUCCCACCACUUGUGUUGACGACAUGGCCGUGAGGAUGUAGUACUCGCCAGCAUCGCAUCUAGCAAAGUGGUAAUCAUACAAAUUACUAUCUCGUAUGAAGUUGUGCAAGGCCAUACAAGCAAUGAUAAUCCUUGCUUGCUUUCUCGGUGGGUAGCUAGGCACAGCUUUCAACAUGCGCCAUCUUUGCUUCAAGACGGCAAAGCAUCGUUCUAUGACAUUUCUGAGUGAUGAAUGUAGAUAGUUGAAGACUUCCUUCCUACCACUUGCAGCGGCGCCAUGUUGAUACUCAGGUAGAUGGUACCUCGUGCCUCUAAACGGUGCUAGAUAACCAGUCUGAUUGGGGUAUCCAGAAUCAACAAGAUAAAAUUUACCUGUACACAUGCAAGUGUGAGUCAAAAGAACAGACUAUAAAAUGUUUACUCGAGAGAGGCAAACAUAUGAGAAAAUUAUACCUCUUGGAGGAUGAGGAAAUUUUUCUUUAUAUUUGUCCAAGGUAUCCUUGAAUAUCCUUGUGUCAUGUGCUGAACCUGGCCAUCCAGCCACGACCGAGAUGAAUCUCAUGUCAAAGUCACGUACGCCCAUAACAUUCUGUGUUGCAUAACCAGCUCGACCAACAUGGUUAACCGUGUCUUUGACAGGCACGAUAACAGGUACGUGCGUACCAUCAAUAGCACCAAUGCAAUUGUUGAAGUGAGGAUAAAACCGUGAGCUCUGCAAUCUCUGAUGCACAUUUCUGAAUUGGGGAUCAACUGGUCUAAUGAUGUCUGCAGCUAAUAAAUUCAAACACUUCAACACAUGGUUGAAUUUCCGAUUGAUAGUUUCAGUGGACCUUUGGAAACGAUUCUGAACUUGACUCACAGACUGUAGACUACCAACGGUCCACAAGAACAUCCCAAGGGCCUCUUCAGAACACACGUUUCUUGUUUCUUGCAACCCAUAGUCACGUACCAAAGUCUCAUGUAAUGCAUCAAAACAAGGCCUAUGCAUUCUGAACAUCUUAUAGCAAUCAUUGGAAGACCCCAAACUAUCAUAAACCCACUGUUGUCCAGUACACCUUGGCUCUCUCCUUUUCUUUUUCGUUAGAUAUUUUUGGAAGUGAGUGGCAUCAACAAAAGCAACAUACAUGUAUUGUUGAUAUAUCUUCUCUUUCAACUUUUUCCUCCUCAUGGCAGAUUCAUCCUCACUUCCACUUUCAAUUGAAUUGUUAGUGCCGCUGUUGUUAGUCGCACUGUUAGUUGUUGUGCUCAUCUAUAAACACAUCAAUUACAAGAGGUUAGUACCACAUAAGACCAAUUAAUCCAUACAUAGCUCAAAUAAAUAGUUGACAACCGAAUCAAACAAGCAUAUGGUUCAAAUUCAUUUGUAGCACACAGGAAUGCAUACUUGAAAUAAAUUGUAGCACACAGGAACUAAUCACCGAAAUACAUGGAAAGAAAACACACAAGGAUACACUAGUUUCUCUUCCUGUCCUCAUAUUGUCUCUCGAGCCAAUUGAGCUUCCCUUCUUUUGUCUUCACAGAUAGAAAGAAACUACGAUUUGUAGAUUUAGCAAACAAUUUUGUAGCAAUGUAGUGCUCAUCACUAAGCUCGGAUGCUCCACACUUGGCAACCUCUUCCAUGAUGGCUGCAAUCUCCUUAGCUUCAGUAGUAGUACUGUUACUACUACUUUCAGUAACAACAUGGUCAACAAACCUCUGGAACUCAUUAGACAUAUUCGCCUUCUUCAGGUUAGAUGGACUACAAGGUAUUGCACUUGAUGGACGUUUGGGCCUUUUCUUCAGUCAUGGGCUAACAGUAGGAGUCUCGGUCUCUUCUUCAUCCACAUCAACCACAUCUUCUUGAACCUGAAUGGCAACAACCUCUUCCACUCCCGGCAUAACGGAUGUGGUACCAUCAACAUUAGCCUUAUCAAACAUAAUAUGCAUCAAGUCCAAGUUGUCCGGUGGUCCCUUGCGGAAUGCUUUAAUUCGCUUGUGAAGCUGCAAAUAAUAUCAUGACAUUACUACUUGUCUAUGCGAGACAUAUCAUGGCAUUGAAUAAAUUAUCAUUGCAUAAGAAAAAUUUAUACCUUGAUCAAUUCAGGCCACUGCUCCUCAUCGGCUAUUAUGGUUUGCGUUUCUUCAUUCCCUCCAAAUCUAGUUGCCUUAAUUUUGUAGAACACCCAAGUUGAAUAAAUAGCCUUCAAAUCGUCCCAACGAUUUUUCAGCUGCCUUCUCUCGUAGUUUCUUCCGGUCUGAGCAUUGAAAUCUGCCACCAAGUUCUUGUAUCCGGUAGCACUCAAGAAUUUGGUUGGCCUAUUUCCAAGCUGAACUUGUUUGGUGGCGCACUCGCAAAAAAUUCUAGCCACGGUAGCAUCCCACACAGCUUUCACAGGUUUCAUCUAAACAAGUAUAUAUUUCAUCCCAUAUAUACAUAAAAAACAGUAAGCAUUUAGUGACAAAAUUUUUGCACAUCUACACAUCUGAAAUUUGCACCUUUGCACAUCUCAAACACUUGCACAUCCACACAUCUACAUUUGCACAUCUCACAAUUUUGGCACUUGCACAAGACAAGAGGAAAUCGGGGGGAGAGAGGCAGGCAAGUCACGGGGCUAGGGGGCUGUGCCUACCUUGGCAGCGGAGGAGUCGGGGCUAGAGGCGUCGGGGCUAGCAGGGGCUGGGAGCGUCGAGGCCGGCGGGAGCUGGGGCUCGGGAUCUGGAGGAGCAAGGGCCAGGGGGCGCGGGCUUCUGGGCCGGAGGAGAGGGCCCGGGUCGUCAACGCCGGUGAGGGGAGAUCCACCGGAGGCAGCGCCCAAGUGAGGUCUGAACCCUAGUUACGGAGAGGCACGAGGAGACGGGCUCUGGCGCUCUGCUCGGGAUGUGGCCGGGUGAGAGGAAAAAGAAAGCGAAACGUUUUGUGGCAUUUGGUACGUAAUAUGUGAAUUGGUGGGAAGAUAUUUCGGUACAAGGGAUGAUUUUGGAGCCGCAGCUGCUGCGGGAAGCACCCCUUCCCCAGCUUCCAGUUCGCUGUGUAUUGGCUUGGAGCGUUUUAUAGGAGCGGCUACGAAAAUCCGGACGAAAAUCUUCUGUUUGUUUGGGUUCCGGAUUGCACGGAGCAGAAGCUGUUGGAGCGGCUUCAACAAUCCCGGACCCUUAAUACAUUCCCAGUCAUUCACGUGCGCUCGUGCUUCCUUUCCGAAAAUCUGCCUUUUUUUUUACUGAUUUGGCUGUCCGAGAUCCUGCAUCGUGCGAAGCACGAUUCAGAAAAAAGUACCGAGCUGUGAGAACUAUCUUCAGGGUUUUCGGCAUCCAUACUGAUGGAUGGUCGAGAUCAUACACAUGUUAGGAUGAUAAUUGUUCAAGUUGCUCUUAAAGUCAGCAAUGGUCGCUAAGGCCGAGCAAGUGAGUAACUGCCUGACACGGCAGCGUGCUCCCUGAAGUUGACACGUUUGGAACUGAGAUGCUUUGCAACGUGCAGGAUCAGCACACAGAUUUAAUCAGCCAGGGCGGAGUAGACCGUACGGUACUUUGAGAAUUUGAAUACAGCCCAGCAGUAUGUUCGUCCCUUGACGCAUGGAUUGGCUUUGGCUGCUGAGAAGAAAAGAAAAGCGCCGGGCUCGGCCCAGGUAGGACGGUACGGCCGAUAAAUACUCGGACUAGUAUAAUGGCAAUUGAAGGUUAUCAUGCAUAAAACCAAGUUUUUGGCGAUGAUGAGGCCACAUGCAUCGGGAGUAAUAUAAGAACACUGGCAAAGGUAGCUUUUCGAGACAUUGAAUUUCUUAACAUAUAAAUCAUCCAUUCUUUGACCAUUUGUGCCCAAUAUUAUUUGAAACGGAACUGUUUAUUAUUGACAUGGCUCGAGCAUGCGUUGGCCUUACGUUUUCCAUGAUUUGAAGUGAUCAAGCGAGGCAAGUCAGUGAAGUCUCGGAUGACUCCAGUCGAUAAUUCUGGCAGAGAAGACAAAGCGUAGUCUCGUUAGGUGGUUAAUUUGGCGCGCAUACGCCGCACUCGGCCGGACCAACUAAACCCAGCUACACAAUAAAUCAUGAGCAACUGACCCGACACUUGCAUGGAGCGAAAUCCCCGCUUAAACAGGCGGCAAAGGCUUAUACUCAUGCAAACUCCACGCUGUACGAGGACCACCUGCCACCAACUAUGGUCCGGCCGGAGCUGUGCUAGCUAGGGUCUGCCCCCGUCUACUCCUAUCAUGCAUCUUUCAUCUCCUCCUCUGCGCCAGCUCCCAAAGUGCUGCAAAUUCACCAAAAAGGAAUUCGGGAUCUCUACCUGACUACUACCUUUACCAGCACCGCACAUCUGCAUUGAUUUGUGAUAAUCCACGAUGUCCUGAGCGUCUCCCGGGGGGGUUGGGGCCAUUCGUGUCCAAUCGUCCAGGGCAGGGAUGAGCUUGCAUACGGGUAUUCAUGCAAAAUCCUGCGUGCAUGUGCGCGUGUUUAUAUUCUUACAAAUACUGUAGUACUGUACAAGCUUUAGCUACAGGCCACAACCCUCAACUCCCCAACCGACCGCCUCUUCUGCACUUCCAGCUACUGCCCCCCCCCCCCGCCCGCCAUGGUUAGUGCAACUGCAACUGCAACCAAUAUAUAUGCUCCUGCCGCUUGUUUAUGCAUGCGACGACAGCGGCAUCUGCUUCCCGGGUUUUCUUAACGAAAAUUAAGUUGGACCUAAAGCGCACCACCAUCUGGUGCGCUUUGAAUAGAAACUCUGAACAUAUUCUUCAGUUUUUUUAACAGCGGCAUACAUAUUUUUCAGUUUCUGAGGUGUACCAUAGCAUCUCUGCUCUCGCUUGUGUUUUAAGUAGUGGCGCAAUUAUGGGGUCCGGACCACGUCUUAAUUAGUACUAGUACAAUAUUACAGACCAAGGCGUAGACACGAUACGCUAAGAAGACGAACACACGACCAAAUGAGAAACUAAUAAGCCGAGCCGGAGAAGAUAAUACCAUGCAGCGUCUUACAGUAGGAGAGCCCGAUGUCUGGAAACUGAAAGGGAAAGCAGAAAGAGAAUGAUUGCCCACAAUCAUGGCUUUCAUGCUAUCUCAUAUACAUAGGUAGAUGUACAAGAUAUACAUGAAAAGAAUCAACACUAAUACUCUACCAAAAUGGCCCGAUUAUAUGCAAUAUCUCGAGCACUAAAUAUGGAAGAGGAUAACAGAAUAUGGUAACCGAAUAUAUAAUUCGGUUUGCCUAACAUCCCCCUGCAGUCGCAACGGGAAAUUCUCGGACGCUGAGACUGGAUCGGAAGUCCAAGAAUAAUGGUGAUGGUAGGCCUUUGGUGAAGAUGUCCGCGAAUUGUCGAGACGAAGGCACAUGCAGAACGCGGAUGUGCCCCAGCGCAACAUGAUCUCAAACGAAAUGAAGGUCAAUCUCGAUGUGUUUGGUGCGCUGACGUUGGACUGGAUUCGUGGACAUGUAGAUAGCAUUGACAUUGUCGCAAAAGACAAUUGUAGCACUGGGCAGAGGUCGGUGAAGCUCCUGGAGAAGUUGGCGGAGCCAACUUGCUUCAGCGACGGCGUUGGCGACAGCUCGAUACUACGCUUCGGCGCCGGAAAGAAUCAACACUAAUCCUCUACAAAAUAACCUGAUUAUAUGCAAUAUCUCAAACACUAAAUAUGAAAAAUGAUAACAUAAUAUGGUAACUGAAUAUAUGAUUCGGUUUGCCGAAAGUUACACCGGAUAGGAAUGAGACGGCUAGCACGGCUCUCCUGCUGAGCGUUGGCCGCCACCAAGAAACCAAUACGGGCAUAAACAGAGCAAACUUUCGCCACGGACAGAGCAAAUGCCACGCCGACUUUCUUAGUUCUUAUGGCGUGGAGUAACGACUGAUGCUCGUACGUGCUGCCUCUUGCUAGCAUAUAUCUGAUGGUGCUAGCCUAGCCAGGACCCAUGCAUGUGUUGCAACACUUGUUGGAAUCCCACGAUUACUUACUUCGUAGUGGCAGUCCACACAUUUUUUAGCCAGGUUGCUCUAGCCAGCGCACUCUUCUAGCCCUAACAGACAUGGAUGAUAGCUACUACACUGGUAGGUGCGUCAGUUUAUGGACGUUGUGCUAACAACAUGAAAACAUGUACUCACUCCGUUCCUAAAUAAUUGUCGUGUUUUUAGUGCAAGGGAGUAGAACUAACUGAACUUUUUAAUAACAAAAAUCCAGCAUGAUUCACGUCCGAGAGUUUUCACGGUUUCUCUAGCUAUAUAUCGGCGGUCAGUGUGCACAUGAACUGGGAAGGAGUGCGUCAAGAUUGUAUGGGAAUUUCUUUUCUCUCCUCUUCGCUGUAUUCAGUGUUCUGCAAUUUACCAAAUCAACGUGUUUGGCAUCAUGGAAAACAAUUGGCAAACUGUGAUUCUUGUGCGGCACAAUGGAAAUUCUCGGGCCAAAACUCAGAGCCCAUAUUAUGUAUUGUGUCCCUGCAUGCAUAGGUCCGUCGAUGCAGAGACCGAAUGCAAGAACUUCGUAAAAAAAGUUUGUAUUGUUUUGGGGAUGUUUUUCAUCAGAACACCCUUCUGGCAAUUUAUCAACAGAUCCGUCAUAGUUUCAAAGUUUUGAGUUAUGUUUUACACAGAGAAUUUAGUACUAUACCAGUCAAAAAUACAUUUACGACUUGAAUUAUAGUUUUUAAAUGGUACUCCCUCCGAUUCUAAAUUGUUGUCGAAAUAUUACAUGUAUCUAGACGUUUUUUAAGAAUAUAUACAUGAAUAUUUGGGCAAAUUUGGGUCAAGAAUUUAGAAUCAGAGGGAGAGUAUAAGAUACUUUAUUAACCAAAGAUUGUUACAUUCUCCAGUUUACAAAGAGCGUAGGAAGCAGAGCAUAUAACUCCACCCGGUGCAACCGUGCAAGCACUCCUUAAAUAAAAGGUCUGUAUUGUUUUUGGGAUGUUUUUCAUUAGAACCUUCUGGCAAUUUAGCAAUAGAUACCAUUAGAGUUUCAAAGUGUCUAAGUCCUGUCCUGAUCUAAUUCUCAGCUGUGUAGAACUACAGUAUAGUUCUCACAAGAAUCAUAAGAAAUAUAUGUUGAGGUUGGGCCGAAGAGGACUGCUGGAAAUAAGAACUAAUGCAGUAUACAGCUUCCCAAAAACCUGUAUCAUCUACUAGAAGAUAACUAAUAAACCCAUACAUUCCAUGUGAUCAAAUGCUAUGCACAAAUCCACUCGUAUUUGCAACCCAACUAACAUAAUAUCUUCCUAAGACAUGCUUCCUAUCGUCAUCGUCUAUCUCUUCUGGAAGUUCAGCUUCAUGAUGGCAAAGCCGAAUAAGAAGGCGAACAGCAACGUGAAUGCCACGACCACCGUGGCCACAUAACCCAACCAGCUGUGCUUGAAGUCGAAGUAGUCUUCUAUGAAGUCUUUCACAAGGGUACCGUCAUCCAUAGGCGUCACGACAUCGCCAAACUGCGAGACGACCAGUCCGUACAGCGUCCAUGCAACGGGGCAUACCCAGCAGUACCAUCGCCACCAGAUUGGAGUUUUCUGUACGUAGUUUCAGGCAAAAUGGGAAUAAUUAAGCUAUAUGAACGCCCAAAGAAUAGUACAUAUGGACUACCGAGGGUGAUGACACUUACCGGUCGAGGGAUGAUGAACCCAGAAAAGAGAUUCCAGAUGGCGUAGAACGCCGAGGAAACGAUUGAGGCGAUGUGGUAGUUCGGUGUCAGGCCGAUAGCCAUCAUGCCGUAAAAUGUGAAGUAUAGCAGCGUGAAGUACAUGAAGAAAAGGUACCAGAAGAAUUUAGGAGCUGUCCACUCAAACCCGAUCAUAGCGUAAACUAUGACUCCAUAUACGGUAGCCUGAACCAGUGUGUAUGGGAGUUCGAUGACAACCUGGGAUAGAUAAGUUAGUCAGUAAUCAGAGUUCAAUGGCUCUCAAUAAAGAACAACCAUCAGAAAAAAAGAUCUCCUGGAACUGAUGAUUUGUACAACAACAUUCACCUGGCCAAAUGCAUAUGGGAAAGCCGAGUACAUGCCAGCUGCUCUUUCACGGUAAAAGACUGUCCUCUCGACAGCGACCACUGGCUGAACCGAAGUACAGUUCAUAACUCCGAUGAACAGCACCGCAGCAUACAUUGACCCCAUGGCGUUGAACAAGUCUUGUGACUGGCUCCUGGAGUACGAAACAAGAGAUAAAUAAAUUUUUGAAGGUGGCUACUUGCUUGCGAUAACAAUGUUGGUGACAUGGCUUACAUUUUGCCACCAAGGUCCCAGAAGAUGGUGCCGAAGAGAAGAGCAAUGACGGUAGUGAAAAGGAACCUAACGGCAUUGUAUGGGGGGUUCCUCCAGUAUGACAGGUUCUGCUUCCACAGGCAAGCCACGCACUGUGUGAUUGAAGACUGUGAGUACUGGGUAGGGAAAUACAGGUCACUUGAACCUGGUGCAGGUUGGCUUAGUUCCUUUAUCAAAGCCUUGUUCCUCCUGCAAAAGGACAAUGCCAGUGUUACGACUGUAAUAAAAAUGCUUUGUAUAAAAGAAAGUUUUUUUUGAGGAAAAAUAAAGGAAAGUUAUCCUAUUGGAAAUUGCAAGGUCAAAGUCUCAAAGAGCAUUAAUUAUGUCGAUACUGGUAAUUUUCCAUUUUUGUCGUGGUAGCUUGUUUUAAUACACCAAGUUACCUGUCUUCUAAAAUCUGCCAAAAGUAAAUUAACCUAUUUACCUGUAGUCUGCUAAGAUUCUUAAAGUAUGCUAAAUUACCUGACCAGUGACAUACCAAUAAAAACUUGAGAAAUUUUAAAAUGUCCCCCAAACGCUGUCUCUUUUGAUUGACCGAAUGGAUACAAAUAUUAUUAACUCUUGGCAGGUAAGAGUCUAUGAAUGAACAUACAGUGCUCAUAUGGAUCACUUAAUACAAAUAAAGAAAUAAUACUCCUACCAUAAGGAAAAUAUGACAUGCUAAUUACUCCCUCCGAUCCUAAAUUCUUGUCGUUGUUUUAGUUAAAAUUUGUACUAAAACAACAUCAACAAUUUAGGAUCGGAGGGAGUAAUAAUUUUACAUUCCCAAGUUUGGCUUCACUAUGAGUGCCAUGUCAUGUUUUUUUUAAAGAAAAAUUGGACAUAGUAGUGGAACAUAGAAAUGUUCAUUAAUACUUCAAGUUCGACAUACUAGUGUAUCGUUUAUCCUAAUUAUGGUAAAAACUAUCUUCCGAUAUUUAUUUUUUGUUUCUUCUGCACUAUAUUAUUUGCAGCAGUUUAGUUGAUAUCACAAACUAAUUGUAAUCAGUAGACUUGACUGUUUUGCAUGACAACAUAGAAUAUAUAUGAUAGUCUUACUUUGAAUAUGAAUUUUCCCUCGAAAAACAAAGCAACAAGAAACCUGCCAUAUGAAGAUUAUUUUGUUGGCCAAACAUGUCCCCGAUCAAUGGAUGGCUAAGAUUAAAAUACUGGUCUUACCUCUUGUGAGGUAAGCAGAGCGUAUUAAAAGAGCUCUAAAAACUGUAUUUCCCUAACCAUAUAGGGUUAUCCUAAACGAUGAUGUGUGACUAGUAGGAUGGCAAGUAUGUUACUCACUGGUAGAGUUCAGAUUUCUUGUAUAUGUCACUGAAAUCAACACCUAGCAUCUGCUCUUGACCGGUUGUUGUCACUUCCAGCAUCCAUGUUGCCGGAUUGUAGCCAUCUUUAAUUUUGCCAACUCCAUGUAUCCCCUGGACAAUACAAAGUCAUAUGCGCUUAUCAGUAUUUUCAAGAAAUUAAAUUGGGGUAUAUUCAAAUUCCUGCAAUAUCACUUUACCUCGAAGUACUCGAUUAACUCUGAAGAAUGAUGACCCAAUGGACCAGCAUAGAUCUCUUCUCCGCCUCGCUUCAUCAGGAAAAGCUGCAAGCAUUGAUCAGACAGUUUACACCUCACAGAAUAGUUUCAAAGUUUGGACAACCAGACAUAAUUUGCUGAGAUUCACCAAUUGGGUCCAGUUAUCCAAAGGGUAGCUGGUAAGAUUCUCUGACGUGAAGUCUCACUCACCUCAUCAAAUGCUUCAAAAAUGUCAAUGCUAGGCUGAUGAAUCGUACAGACCACAGUUCUACCAGUAUCAACAGUGUUCCUCACUGUCCUCAUAACGAUUGCAGCUGCUCGGGCAUCAAGUCCGGACGUUGGCUCGUCCAUGAAAAUAAUAGAAGGAUUAGCAACGAGCUCCACAGCAAUGGUCAGCCUCUUCCUCUGUUCAGUCGACAGACCAUUCACUCCAGGUAGACCAACCAAUGCAUCUCUCAGAGGCUUGAGUUCCACAAGCUCCAUCACCUCCUCGAUGAACAUCUGCGUACACAGAGGUAAGAAACUAUCUAUCAAGUAUUGACUAAAGAUGACAAAUAACAGUUAUUUUGUUUGACUGACCUUUCUUUUGUUUAAGUCUACAUCCCCGGGAAGACGGAGCCAUGCUGAGAAAAGCAGCGAUUCAUAGACUGUCACCUGCGGCGAGUGGAUAUCAUUCUGUUCACAGUAUCCUGAUACACGCGCAAAUGUCUCUUGUUUCUUUGGGUAUCCUGAAAUGCUGAUGUUUCCUUCGAUGUACCCACCUGUCUUUCUCCCUGCCAACACAUCCAUCAGAGUAGUCUUGCCAGCACCACUGACCCCCAUCAGUGCAGUCAGCACCCCAGGCCUGAAAGAUCCACUGACACCUUUGAGGAGCUCCAAUCGAUCUUCAACUACCCCUUGUGUUUUCAUUUCCUGUAACAAAUUUCAUGCUCGAGGUUACGAACUUACGAUCAAUGAACGAUGAUGAAACUCUAACAGAAGCUCUCUUUUUUAUGAAUUACCGGUGGCAUGUCAACAGAGUAUCUGAUGUUUUCAAAGGUGAGUGCAAGCGGGAGAAAUGGAAGGACCAUUCCCCUUUUCACAGGGCUAGAAUCUUCAACAACUGCCGAAUCAUUUCCAGUACUGAUUCCUGACGGUCCAUGAGUUUCCAAGUGAUUGUUGUCCAAAACCUCACCGUUCAGGUUGGCAUGCUUCUCCUUCAGUUCAUCUUCAGAUACCGACGAACGGGAGUUGCCAUAUGCUGGACAAGAUGAAACCAUUCUCAGGAUUAUAUAUAGUUAAAUCCAAGGAAAAUAAGCAAAGUAGCACUGAAUGUAAUCUUUUCAUGAGAUAAAAGUAAUUCUGGAUGUACUCACCCUUCAGGUAUGUCAGGGCAAGAGUGAAGAGAGCAUUGAACAAUAAGGUGAAUCCGAGCAUUGCACCCAAACCGAUCCAAUACCACUUGGCUUCAGGGAAAACUCCACGGGACUUGAGGACUUGCACACCAAGGGUCUCGUUUGAGGCGGUGCUAUUCAAGAUUUUGUCCCAGCUGUGACCCAAGAGCUCAUUUACUGAGAUGGCGUUCUGUGCAUACAUUAGUGGGGAGAUCCAGUAGCCCCAAAUCCACCAUUUUUUUACUUUUUCUGCAGGUUCAAACAGAAUGAAGAACUUACAUGAGGCUGUAUUGCCAAGGACUAGCAGGCCAGAAGGGUGAGUAUUUUACCUCUUACUAGAAUGAAUCCGCCCAAGACCAUAAAAAUUAGCAACAUGAAUGACGCAAAGACAUUUGCAACAAUCAUGCUCCUCGCUGCCCCACCUAUGAAUCGGAAGAGUGAUGCUGCCAUCUGAUUGAUUGCUAACAUAAGCAGAUAUUGCUUGAAGAACCUGAUGACAGCAAGUACUCUAAGAACGUUGCAGAACAAUAUCGGAUAGCUGCCGGUACAAAGUUGUGGAACAAAAGAUUCUAAACCAAAUCUCACCUGCCUACAUUUGGGUCGAACCCCAUGACAUAGUAUGUUAUGAAAACAUAGCCGCCAACCUCAAUAAACGUGAUUGGGAUCUUGAGGAUCCAUGAGGGUAUCGCAUAGGCCCAUGCAGGGUAGAAAAGGAGGUCCCUCUGCUUGAAGAACACAGGCAGCUUAAAGACAGUGAGUGCGAGCUCAGAGAAGCCAUUAAACAUGAUCAUGAGCACACCAAAGAAGAGCGCUCCCAUGUAGAUACCCCCACUGGUCACAGAGUCGCGCUUCAUGCUUGUACGGAAGAAGAGCGUCAUUGAAAUAAAUGACAUUAGGAUCAGCUGCAAGGCCAAUACACCGAGAAAUCAGUUAUGCUGCUGCUGUUUUUCAUUCUAUCAUAUAGAAAUCAAUCCAUUUGUUUGUACUUUGUACUAAUGGUAAUCACCUGGAAGGUUCUAAACAUGUAGACAAAAGAGUUCCUCUUCAUGAGGAGGAUCUCCCUGUCAAUGUUUGCCUUUAGCAGCUCCGUGCCACUCACACCAUACCUCGUGGUCGUCAAUGCAGCUGGAUGGCUCUUGCUCUUGUCGAACGGAACAGCGAGCUCGUUUGUUAUAGCUCUCCCAGUGUGGAACGACCGGAACGCACUGACAAAGUCCUUAACCGGCACGAACCGGUAGGGCUCAUCAACCCGUGCCCAGUAUUGCUUUUGAUCUUUCCUUGAAGUCACCUGUUCAGUAUUUGCACAGAGGUGCGUUAUAAAAAAACCGUACCCAUGCAUACAAAAGAAGGCAUGGGAAUGCCAGUGUAGGUACCUCUUGCAAGAAGUCAGCGACACCCUUCCUCUCAGGACACUUGAACCCCAUGGACUCGAAGAAUUCAAGCACAUUCUCACGAGGGCCCUGGUAAACGACCUGGCCGUCUGAUAGGAGGAGGAUGUCAUCAAAUAAGUUGUACGUCUCAGGGGCCGGCUGCAGCAGGGAGAUGACGGCCGUGCCGCCAAGAAUGUGUACGGACUGCCGGAGGGAGUUUACAAUCUGGAAAGUAGUGGAGCUGUCAAGCCCAGUGGAGAUCUCAUCCAUGAAGAGCGCCUUGGCAGGCCCAACAAGCAUCUCACCUACAGGACAUAUCCAAGUAGAACUAUUCACACCAUUUUUCAUGAACAGCUGACUUUCUAGAACUGAAAUCAGCUUGAUUUCUAUCCUUUUUUACCGGUUGUAACACGCUUCCGUUGUCCACCAGAGAUGCCCCUCAGCAUCUCGUCCCCCACCAUCGUGUCUGCGCAUAUCUCUAGUCCUAAUAUCUGCAACAGGUAGUAACGUCUAAACUGAUGAACAAGACAGAUCUGGGUAAUUCAAUCUAAAGUCACUCGCAGUUGUAGCUCAAAGAUGCAUGUACCUUCAGUAUAUAGUCUGUGUUCACGUUGGCCUCUAGCCCCCCCAUUGAAGAUGCCUAAUAAAGAUAAGCAGAAAUAUUAUAUGAAGUUCAUUUCAGAUUAGUUGUCAUGAAAACACUCACUGAAAACACCAAAAUCUUUUUGAUUUAUUUAGGAUCUCCAAAUCUUGCCUUCAUAAACGCAUCGAUAUCAGCAUCAGGUUUGAUAUUUGCAGCCUUCUCUCGCCUCGACAACUCAGUCAGCAUAUCUGACAACAUAAUACAAAGGAAACUUGAUAAGCAUAUCUCAAUUGAACCAAGCCAAUAACAUAGAAUCUGCAAGCAGAAGAAAUGAAUGCAUGUGCAGUUGCAUGUGAGUAAAUUGCAGAGAAUCGUACCAAAGCGAUUGCCAACACCCUGGCAGCGUGCGGAGAACGCGAGUGUCUCCCUCACAGUCAUCUCUCCUAUGUGGAGGUCGUGCUGGCUUAUGUACGCCGCCGUUCUCUCCGGCACAAACUCCUCCAUCCCAUGCCCGUUGUAGGUAACAUUGCCUGAAACCUGCAGAUCGUUUCAUCCCAUUACUCAAUGUGUAUGUCAAAUCAGUCAUUCCCCAGCAAAAGGUGCACUGUUUCUAACAACCAAUCUGUUUUUACAAACCUUGAGGUCUUUGUCGAGCCUCCCGGCCAAUGCGAGCAGCAAGGUGGUCUUGCCAGACCCAGGUGGGCCUAACAGCAGAGUCAUCCUGUGGGAACGAAAAGAGCGUGAGGUGGAAGAAGCGAUGAAAUCGAGUUACAAAAGACCCGGGUCAAAGUCUCCAAGUUCCAACAGGUACUCCACGGGAAGAGCAUCGCAUCUUUUCGGUAACCAAAAGUUGAGAGAGAUCUUUUCACCUGCGCGGUUUGAUGAUACCACUGACGUCGUGGAGGAUGGGCAUGGUCCGCUUCCUGUUGGGGAGUAUGCGCAGCGCGUUCGCCGCUUCCUGAACCAAACAACCGAAAACAAAUAAAUCUCUCUUCCACGCGGAUACGCAGAGACAAACAAGAGCGGGUCUUUUUUUUAGAAGAUCAAGGUCGGGUCUUUUUCUAAAGAAAAAACAAGAGCGACUGAUUUGUGCUCCCGGGGUUGCGAUCAAACGGACCUCGAGCGUGUUGGUGAUGGAGUUGAGCACGGUGGGGAGGCCACUGUCGCCGACGCGGACCUCCGCCGACGCCACCAGGUGCUCGAACCGCACCUCGAUCGUCGGCAUGUCGAUCCCAACCCUGCGCGACAAAACACGCACAAAUCAUCAAACACCCAGCAGGCAGGCAGGAAACGAAGUCACAGCUAGCUCGGAAACUGUUAGCACACGCACCGCUCGAGGCGGUCCUUGAGCUUGAACAGGAAGCGCUCGUUGUCCUCGUCGGCGACGCGCACGAGCCGCUCGAGGAGCGCCCGCCGCUCGCGCGGGCCGAGCCCGUGCACGUCCACGUCCACGACCCCCUUCCCCGCCGCCGCGCCCUCGUCGCCGCCGCCGUCGAGCCGCGGCAGGAUGGCGCGGCGGACGCGGUCGUAGGUCGGCAUCUUCUCGAGCGCGGCCCAGCGCAGCGCCUCCUCGUCGUCCUCGUCCCUCGACGAGCGCGAGAACACGUCGUCCCCGCGCCGCCAGAUGGACCCGCUGUCCCCCCGCAUGCUGGCGACCUUCUGGAUUUCCGCCGCCGCGUCCAUCUUCCUCCUCCUCCCCGCGCGCAGCUAGCUAUGGUCGCGCCAAUGGUUAUAUUUAGCGGCGCAAACCACCCCCCCCCCCCCCCCCAAACCCAAACCCUGUGCGUGAUUCCAAGGGAUUUUUCUUUCAAGCCCACCCUUUCAGGCUUGCUUCUGCUGGCGCGGUGGUGUGGGAGUACCGGAGGAGUUGAGGGGACGGACGGGGUUUUUGUAGAGGUGGGAAUCCGUUGCACCGGGACGGGGAGGCACUAUUUCUUUUCUCUUUUUUCUAUGAAACUGAAAGGGAAGGUGGUCAUGCGCUGGCCUGGUGGGUGAGGUGGGUACCCGAUUGUCAGAGAGUCAGGUAUGUUUGCCACGGGAAGCGUGGAGGGUGGGGGACGAGACGACGGAGACUGCAUGCUCAUCAAGGAUCUCCGCCAAAUCCCAAAUUCCCAAUGCAUUUUUAUUGUCGCCACUUGUCGCUUCUAGAAGUCUAGUUCUGGUUUGAAGGAGGCUAGCGACCGCCUUCUAGUUCUAGAACGGCGUCUGAUAGACAGCCCUCGCGGGGAAGCGGCGAGCCAGCAUUUAUGUUCCCAGCAUUGACCCUUUGAGAAUGCGAGCCCUGUUUCAAAUCCGUUCUGGACGUACUAGUACUUCGGAUAUUUGGGUAAAGGUUUAUGUCUUGCUAUUUAUGUCAUGACCAACCAAAACGUGAAUUACGCAGAAGCUCACGGGACACACGAUUCUGUUUCCGUAAAAGAUGCGCUAUCUAUUGAUGUUUUUGGCAUGCCCAGGAGACAUGUCAAUAUAUAAUUCUGAGUUUUACUUUAUGUAUUAUACUGAUAUUUACUUACUUACUCUUUAUUAAAUUCUGAGUAUACAAGACUAAAGUAAAUUUUGAUCAACAAUUAAACUACUCAAGUCCUCCAUCUUGUCUUCCUCAUCCAUGGCCACUACGACUUCUUCCUCUACCACCCCAACGGCCUCCAAUCCACGUCCGUUUCUUGCUCAACCGCCUCAACGCCCUCUUGCUCCACCGCCGCAACAGCCCCUUCCUCCACCGCCACAACGGCUUCUCCAUCCAUAGCAGCCACAAUCUGCUGCUCAACGCCGCCUCCCACCAUGGUGUAUAUCAUCUCCUUCCCUCACUCAGCCACGAACUGCUCUUCAACGCUGCCUCCCUUCAUGAUAGCCUGUUCUCUCUAUGUUGUCAAUGGCCUUCUCGUUCAGUUCUUAUACUGGUUCAAGGAGAAAAAGGGGCUGGGAGAGGAAGAGAAAAAGAAACGCUCGGUACGCACUAUAGAUGCAUGCAGAUUGUGUUCAUAGAUGCAUGCAUUUUAACAGCCUUCACACGGCAUAUGUGUUCCCAUACUACUUCAACCAGCAAAAGAGCCCGUGCGUUGUUACGGAACAACGGAAAAUUGUAUCAAAACGUCAAAUUAAAUGUUGAUGUGUUUAUGAUAUGUUUAUUUUCGUGGGCUAUACUCUGGUCUCUUUCUUUUUUUCAAAUGUCUUAUUUAUAUAUUUCUCCUUGCCCUGUUCUCCUAUUACUCCUACUCUGUACAUUAUUUCUCAAAUCUUUUCUCCCAAUUUCUCGCUCUCCCUCUGACUAUCCUCUCCAUCCACCCUGAGUGCAAACUUCUCCUCUCCCUGUCCCGAUUCAUCCAGCCACCGAACAUCACGCCGCCAUGCGCGGCCGCCCGCUUGUAGAUUCCUGCGCGUCGUCUGCUCCCACUUGCUGCCAGGUACGCCUGUGCGCCGCCCGCACAUCGCGUCCGCCCACUGAUCGCCACGCGCCACUGCCCGUCCGGAGGGCCACCGAUGGCUCGCGCGCGACGCGGUCCCUGCUGCCUUGCGUGAGGCCACCGCCAUCCCGGCCUCAAGCUCAUCCCAUCGCUGUCCAAGUCCCGCGGGGAGCCACCGGCGCGCACGAGCCAGUGGAGGCGGCGGUCAGAGCGCGCGACGGAGCCGGGGGUCCGCAGCCGCCUUCCGCACACGGACGCCGCAGACACGGACGAGCUGGUGGAGGCGACAAGACUGGCGGUGGGCGUGGGCGAGAUCCGGAUCGGGCAGGGGGUGGGGUGAGAUUCAUAGGAGAGGAGGAGGGCUCUGUUUUUUUUUGGCGUUACAUGUUUUUUCUGCGCUUGAGGACUGCAGAAGCCGGGAUUAAAAGACACGUGGAGACAUCGGUGGCAGAUUCGUAAUUUCAGUGAAGUGACGUACCGCCGCGACCGUAUCAUUACCACCAACUCCAAUUUAAUUUAUUGAUAUAGAUUAAUGACUUACGUCUAGGAGCCCACUGAUUGUGAAACUUCCUGGAUUUGGAGAUGCGCUGUGUAAAUUGUGACGGAGGGAGUAGUGAUAUGAUGUGAUGCAAAAAGUGAUGAUUAUUGGAUUCAUAUUGAAAAGCAUUUUCUAAUGGUAUGGUACUAACUUUCAUGGGACAUCCAAAUAAACCCUCUUUCUUCACAGGCGAAUUAAGUCAUUGGGAACUCAUUUUACACCUUGUUUUAUCGCUUGUAUUUAAUGUUUACGUUGCAUUCUCCACGUCCAAGAGGCCCAUGCCUUGGUAAAAAAUUAUUGAUUUGAUUUAAUUGGCUAAACUCCCCAAUCACGAUUCUCUAUGUCUCCUCGUCUUUGUAUAUGAGAUUAUUGAGCGAUGUCUUGCAUACUGAGAUUAUUGAGCGGAGUAUAUAUUGACAGAAGGAGUAUAUACGUGUACUAAUUGUCAAAGUUUGACAUAAAUUUUUGAGUAAAUUUCAUAAAACCACUGUUUUUGGGAGGAGUCGUGUUGCUGAACCACAAUUAAUGAAAAACCAUUCACAUAAGCACACUUUUUGAGUCAAGUUGUCUCAGUUAGUCUCAAACUAGGUGUGUAGAUGUGUAAAUGGUUUUACUUGAAUCCUUACAUGUGGGGCUCAUCUGUCAGACGUCACGUCGGUCCCGAAAACUUGCGGGAGUUAGAAGGGGUUGGGGGGUUUAAUCACGGGCUAACAGGUCGGGUCGGGUCGGGGUCGACGUGGUGUCCGACAGGUGGGUCCCACAUGUAAGAAAUCAAGCAAAAUCUCCAAACCACUCGUUUUCGGGUUGACUGAGACAAUUUUACUUAAGAAGUGUGAUUUUGCGAACGGUUUUCCGUUAAUUGUGUUCAGCGACACAAAAACCUUGAUCUUGUGAAAUUUACUCUAAAAUUUUGGGCUGACCUUCUAUCCUAGAAGGAUAGAGUACAUUAUUGUUGUGAUGUUUUGAAAACUUUUGUCACAAUUUAUUGUUUUAUCUCAACUUGAGAAUCAGAUAUGAUCUGUCAUGAUUCUCUGGCGGGUACGGGUAUAAAGUAUCCACGACAGUGAAAUUUUGAGAUCUACCUACUACUGGUAUACUUUGAGUCUGACGAGGGCGAAUCCUACAUAUAUAAUCGUCUUUUCAGUCCCAUUAACAACAUUUACACGAACAAAUUUACAACGUGGAAGAUAAUAAUUGUCAUGGUUUAGUUCAAAUUUGAAGUAAAAAUCACGGUAAGAAUUUAGGAUAGGGCAGCCCAUGCCGUGAUAAUCAGCUGGUUGCAAGAAGCUUUCUCUGGAGAGUCUUGUCCAGCACGUUGAUAUGUUUGUGACUUUGUGAGAAGCACGGAGAAGCGACCGAAGCCAGAGCCAAAUUAAGCAUAAUAACUAUCUGGCGAAUGUCGAGUCCGAGUCAAAUGGACGGCAUCUGCUUGAUGCCUGACCUUCUAGAGCGUUGACAACCCAAUGAGGUCCUGAUUAAACCACAAACAUGUGUUGGCAACUGUGACACGGAUCCAUGCAUGCAUGAUGCAUCCGCUUAAUUAGCAACUGAUCAGACAAAUCCACGACAGAGAAAAAAUCAGGAGCCUAUCAGACCAAAUCCAGGUUGAGAUAUGAGAAGAACUAAUUAAACAUAAACAAAUCGUACGUUCUCUCUAGAUCAAACUAUAACUCCGAUGAGCAUAGACGAAUUCGGCAGGGCACAGCUGAUCCUAGGCUCCUAGCUAUUCCAGCACGGAGGGAGUGCCAUCAUUUUUACACGCAAUCCUGCAAAGCAGACACGUUUAACACGCUUGAAUAGUCAGUACAGCUGAUUGUUCUCGUAGCACAGGGCACAUGAGCUGGUUGUUUUCGCACGAAUUGAUUGAGCAGCACGGCAUGGCAGGCAUGCGCACGGGUCAAUCGUCAAUUGCCGGCCCGGGGGACGGGGGUUUGCGUCGUUUUCAGCAUCUAAGUACAGAUUAUUUUGCAGCAUACAUUCGUGUAAUCGUGUUCGUUUCGAUUUCACAUCACUGAAUAGAUCGGACUGUUCAAGAUCGUAUAAACAAAUGUAAACUAGUCUCCAUGCCAUGUUGUUUUAGCAGAGAUCCAUGCAAGAUGGCGACAUCAGCCUUUUUUUUUGAGAAAAAUAUAUUUUUGUCUUUCAAAAAAAGUAUUCCCUCCUAUCAUAAACUAUUGUCGAAAUUUUACAUGUAUCUAAACGUUUUUUUUAAGAAUAGAUACAAUAAUAUUUGGACAAAUUUGUGUCAAGAAUUUAGUAUCAGAGUCGGUACUCAUUUUUGUUCGUACAUCUAUUUGCGCUCCAGCUGUCGAAACCGGACACCUAUGAUCCUCUACUCGUGUUUUUGGUGCCAACAGAGUAGUACGAUAUUGCUGUUGUUGUUGUUUACUACUCGUAGCUGUCUUUUGCCCUCGAGAAUGGCCAUUCUUCUCCUUGAAGAAUGGAGAAUGGAAUGGGUAGCUGAUUUUGUUUUCCAGUUGUGACUAUUCUAGGUACGUGGUAGUGUUGAGAAUGGCCAUUCUUCUCCUUGAAGAAGAGAAUGGAAUGGUAGCUGAUUUUGUUUUCCUGUUUGUUACUAUUCUAGGUACGUGGUAGUGUUGCUGAAACAGUAUAACUUGUAGAAAACUCGAAGAGAAAAGGUUGUCUUGUUUUGCUAAUCAAGUUGAGUCCGUCUGCAUGUGACUGUUGGACCUUUGUCGGGCCUAGGUAGGUUGAUCUUUACCUCUAUAGCUUUGAACUCUGACGUAUUAUAAAAACUAGCAGAGUGUCCGUGCGUUAUUACGGAAUGAUUUUUCUCAUGCGGGAGAUCCGUUUCGUGUGGGAACUGGGAAGGAUGGGAGCUUGCACUCGUGUCGUGCGGGAGAUCGAGAGGAGGGGGCUUGCGUUGAGGAUGGACGAAGACGGACAGCUUCAGGACCUAGGGUAUUAGGUGGCAUAUUGGACGUAAUUUUGGUGACGUGACGUACCGCGACGCCCGUACCAUCACCACCAACUCCAAUUUAAUAUAUUGGUAUAGAUUUUAACUUUUCAAUUGUUUCAGUUCAGCCCAACAGCUGCGAUACGUGUUUUUUCUCGUGCGGGAGUGACAUAUCCCUCGUAAUUCUGAUGAAAUGACAUACCGCGACGUCCGUACUAUCACCACCAACUCCAAUUUAAUAUAUUGAUUGAUAUAGAUAGCUGACCUUAGUGCUGCCAUGCUUUAGAAUCUUCCUACACGUGGUCGUAUACAUUCUAUAACCAUUCAAGCGAGCAAAGGAAGUUUCAGCCGUGAAAGUAAGCUUAGAAGUUAGAUAUUCAAUUUCUCGAUCACGCACGCACGUACGUAGGACGGUCAUACAUACUUGCACCAGGCCAUCUGCGUACUCCUUCUAGUCCUAGCGUCAUCACUGACGCAGAGCCCAAAUAUUGUGUAUGGUUUUACGGAUGCUAAGACCGUUAAAAGAUCAGAUUUGAUAAAUUCAGUCCAUGUCGUCCCUGCUAAUAAUGCUAGGAUGGUCCAAUUUUUUUUUUAAGGUGCAUGCACAUCAUGGCUCUUGCUCGCGUGGGCACGUGAAUUUUGCGGUGCGUUUUUCGCAGGUGCACGCAGCGCAGCGACACAGGAUUUUUUCGUGGGAAAGUAAUUAAGUUGCUUUCGGCUUGACACUGCACGCAUGCAGUACGAGUUUCGUCUUUGAUUACUUUUUUCUUCUCAAAAGUGAAAGGAAAAACCAGAGAAUUUUCUACGCGACGACGUGGGAAGAGAGAGACGCCUUUGAUCCGCAGUUCUCUUCUCGUGGCUGCAGUUUCGUUACGCCGCCGUACCUAUCAACCAUGCAACAUUGGGGCAUUGGGCAGGGUAGGCAGCGAGUCUUGACCCGUGCGUGCCUGACCUUUGACGCGAACUUUUCUUAUGGGCGCCUUGUGCGCCAAGCCAACAUCGGAAUCGGGCGCCACUCUCGUCUCAGCUUAUCUUGACCGCUGAAUGGACGGAUGGAUCUCCAUAAUUUGCAGUUACGGUUCAAUGCUUUUCUCUUGUUGGUGAGGGGAGCCGUUUUGUUGCUCGUAUACAUGAAUAAAAUUUCAAUAAAUGUGCAUGCAUGGUUACAAUUGAUCUUACAAAACAUAGCCAUAUCCGACUCAUUGAAAGCCUCUUUGAUUAGUAGGAUUAUGAAGAUAGAAAAAGAAUACACGAAUAAAAUUUUACAAAAAUGUGCAAUUAGAUUACAUAAAGUUUUGUAAAAAUGAACUUUUGGUCCGAUUCACAAGAAUAGGAAAAAACAAGUAGCAUACACAUUAAAAAGUCAAACCACACAUUGAUAAGAAAUAUUUGUUUUUUUUUACAUUUUAGUAAGCUCAGAAAAGAAGACUUAAAACUUGUGGCGGACAAAAUUAUUAAGAGAGUGGCAGGUGAAGGGGUAAAUGACUGAUUUUAAUCAGAUCUCACCUCACCAGCAUACCUAUUUACCUUCUCCCUAUCACCAAAUUCCCUUCUGGGCGAUUCGUGCAAUUAAUUAUGAAAUGGCUCGGUGUCUAUGCGAUAAUCAUGCUGUUCGUGCAAUUAAUUCUGAAAUGGCUCGGUGUCUAUGCGAUAAUCAUGCUGGACAUUUCAAGUAUCAUCUUGCUCACUACGACUUGGUCAGUAUAAAGAAAUAAUUUGGAGGGCUAGGUAUCCACAAUUCUCUCUCUCUCUCCCUCUCUCUCAUGGGCAUAAAUUUUUUAAGUAGGUCUAUGAAGAUAGUAUUAUUUGUUGCAUUCCACCUCACAUACGUUGUCUUCAAAUUUAGCAGUGUAUCCCCUGUCUUUAUUCCUGUUGUAUGCUCUAUAAGAAUUCCUCCCAGGGUGGAAAUCUUCUUGUGGCUAUAUAUUCAUAAAAAGUCACUCGCUAGAGAUAAUCUUCAUAAGAGACAACAUGUAGAUGGUUUAUCAUGUUUAAUGUGCUAUGAUCCUGAUAUUCAGCACAUUUGCUUUUCCAUUGUGAUGUUGUGAAUAUAACAUGGCUGGAUAUAUUCAACAUGAUUAAUCGUUCAAUUGGUACUAACUAUGAAUAUGUGCCAGCUUACUGCUAAGCCCUACGAAAUUUGGAGUUAUCAACAUGUUACCUGCAACAAUCAUGGCGUAUGUAAUUUUUUUAGUCCAUAGCAAUGUACUCCUACAUGUGUUCGCUAGUAUGUAUCUAUAUCUAUAUUAUAUAAUCUAUAAAGUUAAUCUACUAAGGUGCACUUCAUGUUUGCAAGCUACACACACAAGGUUUCCACGUCACUAUCCACCUCACCAUCCACAUCAUGCAUCAUGCAACACAUAAGCAAUUUUAUUUUGGUGGCAUCUUUUGCAAUUCAAUCUUUUAGCACAUAUAAGAUUUAAUUUCAUCAAAAUAUUUCACCAAAUACCCAUAUCUUCUUGAUAUGUAUGCCGAUCUUUCUAAGAAUUGUGAAUAUUUAGGUUACCGUAGCUUUUGUUUUUUUAUUUCCCUGAAAUAGUUAAUGUUCAUGUACAUGAAAAUUGCUCCUAUUAUUUUAGUGCAUAUGUGUUUUGGAUGAUAAAGUCUACAUUUAUUUUUCUUUUGCAUUUGAUCAUUUUAUUAUCAUUCGUUCGUAUUAUGUGCAAAUAUGCAAAAUUAUCCGCAACAAUGCGCGGGGAAUGACCUAGUAUAUACUCCCUCCGUUCCUUAAAUUAGGGCGUAUAUUGUUUUCUUUUACCAAGCCUUUGACCAAGAUUUAGACUAUUAAUAUAUAUUUUUUGUGAAAUAAAAUUGAUACCGUUGGAUACGUGUUCCAAAGUACUUCUUUGUGAUUAUGAUUUAUAUCGUAUAUAUAAGUCACACGUUGAUGAAGUAAUCUUUGGUCAAACGAUCGGUCAAAGGAAACAAUAUAGGUCUUGGGGAGAGGGGAGCUUCGGGAGGAGAGGGAGAGAGAACCAGGUUGGGGAGAUGGAGUGCGUGGCUGAAUCAAGGGAGAUAGAGAGAA